rnacentral:lncRNA from 1 species
CAGUCUGCCGCAACAUUAAGACAGAGAGCGAGAGAGAGAGAGAGAGAGGUCGACAGGCCCUAACGGAGCGCUCCAUGAUCAUGAGCGCGGCCAAUGGAGGCGACGGAAGCUGGAGGGGGUACUACCAGUACCGCCCUUCUUCGUUGCCGGAGACGACUGUUCUGAGCACGCCGGCACCGGCACCGGCGGCGCCGCCGCCAGGGAUUGGUAGCAGCGGCGGGAGCGGCGGGGGGGGCGGUGGGGCCGGCGGCACCACCCAACCUUCCAUCGAGGGAAGGAUCGGAAAGACAGGAAGGAAGCGGUCGAGGGCAUCGAGGAAGGCGCCCACCACCCUCCUUAACACGGACACAACCAAUUUCCGGGCCAUGGUGCAGCAAUUCACCGGAGCCCGCACAGCGGGGAACCAGGUGGAGUUCUUGGAGACGACAGCUGCCGGCGUCUCCAGCGUGGGGCCGACGACGCUGAGCUUCGGGCACGGCGGGGGGCCCCGGAUCUACAGCCAGCAGCCUCCCCCGUUCUCGUACUUGGCUCAGCAGCACCAGUACCAGCAGUUUAACCAGAAUCAGGAGAGUCAAUUCUUCCUGGGAGGAGGACGAACCGGACCUAUCGGAAAUGGCGAUGUCUUCCUUAACCCUCAGGAAGGGUACGUCUUAGAAGGGGAGGGUUCCUCCAGUGGCAUGACCAGGGACGUCUUCCCCUCAAGAUGAUGAUGAUGAUAAAUCAGCGAAGAACGACAGAAAGAGAGAUAGGCAGAGAGAGAUUAGGCUUCUUCUCUCUUCUGGUCUCUCAGAAGGAGAGGGAGAUUUCGCUUUGUAAAUAGAUUCCUACUACGGUAAUCAUUUCAGACUUUCUCUGAUCGCUUACACGUACUUCUAUUUACUGUCCACCUUCCAAUCUUGUCCAGUCCAAACUGGGACUUCUCGACCCCCACGUUCAAUGCUUCAAGAAGCCUCAAUCAGUUCUAUAAAAAGGUGGAAUUUCUUGCGGUACGUGGCCGUCCCUCCCAACUCUCAGUCGUCCUCCGCACUUGAGAUGAGUCCUAUAUCCUCAGCUCUCCUCUCAGAAGGUCUACCGCCCGCCUUUCCAGCAUUCAUUCCCCAUUCUGGAAGAAAUCCAUCGUUUUGUAUGCUACCCAAGUCGUCAGAUGGUCUUCUCACAAGUCCUGUCUAAAAACGACAAGCAAGAAAAUUAGACGGCUUUCAUAGGAUAUGAAAGAACCUCUUCUCAAAAUUAUACGGCGCUACAUUUAUGCAUGAUAACAACAAUAUUGGGAAAGAGCUCCACGAUCUGCGCAAGUAAAACGAGAUCAUUACAAAAAUUAUGGCGGUAAAUGGACCAAAUUUCUUCGAUACCUUGGACCUUCGCCAUCACCUGUUGAAACCUAGUACUGUCAAUUGCCUCCCCUUCCUUAGUAUUAGCCAUGCUUAUUUGGAAAAGAUUGGCUGAAUUGGAAGAGGUUUCUGAAGUCUCAUAGUUUAGUAACCCAGGUAGGGGAAUCUAUUAGUGAAAACGAGGUUCAACAUAUCUGGUCCUCAUUUGCCGUCUGGUCAAACUCAGAGAAUGAGCCUGAUGCGACCUGAUCAGAAGUUGCGCACAAGCAUGGCCCUUUAAACUUUGUAAGGUUUCAGAGGAUGAUUUUAAUCCCAUCUUCUAUACUUGUACUCAUCUUUGAAGACUUGCAAAGUGUUUGCGUAAGCAUAUUAUGGUUUCCAUCAAGAUCGUAAAGGGAUCUAGGAAGGAAUUUUCCAAUAAUUUUUUUAGACACACUCAUGAAGAGAUAUUUUUCCAAGUUUUGCUAACAUCUAUGAUAAACUGUCGCGGUGACAUGAGAACGAGUAUAAGCAAAACGACAACUUUCAUUUUCUAAACAGAAACAUUUACCCCAACUUAUUCAGCGUGAAAAAGAGAACGCAUAGCCUUAACACGGUGUUAGGCUGAUAUUGGAUCUCCCAAAAUAUGCGUCUUAAGCGGUUCCUAACAGCCAACCAUCUUGUAUGGAUGAAUAAAUUUCAAGCCCACUAAAUGAAUGUCGCAUGAUGCAUAUGUCUCACUUUUCCAAAGGAGUAUUUUAGAAAUGGUCAUCACGUCGCUUGUUUGUAAACCCAAGAAAAAUAUGAGUUCAAAUAAAUUUAUUUAGACUCAUAAGACAAUUAAAAUAUUACAUACACAUACUGAACUUGGUAUUUUUGGAUCAAGAAGUUGAUCCGAAGGUCAUUUUGUAUGUUUCCUUUCAUCCAUGCCUUAAAUGCCACUGAAAUUUCAAAGUCACUAAAAUGAUCAUAAUGAUUUGAUCAUUUCCAACUUUAAUUCUAGUCUGACGAAAUAUUCAACGCUAUACUUUCAAAAUUCAUCAUCACCAUCUGAUCAAAGAGGAAACUUUGUUUGUUGACACAAAGUUAAAGAUUCUUCCCAUCAAGAGAAGGGCUCAAGGUAAAAUUUUAUGCAAAGGGAUAAAACUAUGAUAUAAGAAGCAAAGAUUAUAAUUUGGUUUUUUCCACUCCAAUUGCACUCUACUUUCCAAGCUUCUCGGUGGAUAGUUCGCCAUAUCACUUGUCACAUGUUAACUCUCCCACAGGACUAACUAAGCCUCUCUACAAGAGACAUUCCUUUCUCCAUAGCAAGAUUGUUGAACACAGAUAAAUUAAAUAGAGAAUUUUAUGAAGCUUAUACCCAGAUUAUAAUGUGCAAAAAAGUUUAGAAAUACCAUUUGAAUGUGGGUGAGAACAUUAGUGAGCUUUUUCAGCUUGAAAAAAUUCCAAGAUCUUAUGAGUUUAAAAUCGUUGAAGCUUUGUCAAGUCCUGUUUUGAGGAUAUAUUGACUGUGAAAUCCUCUCCAUUCAACACAUAAAAUUUUUAUUUUCUAGUUCAAAUAGGCAUUGAAGCUUCGUAGGUGUCAACACCAUGCUCAUCUGUACUGAGUUUUGGUUCUUUGUGUUAAGACUUGAGUUAUAAUGAUUAAACCUUUUUUUUUUCGAGUGUCAAAACUUCUCUGCUAAGCCUUGACCACUGAUACAAACAUCAAUGCCUCCUCUUUUGAGUCCACACCUAAAUUCUAAUUUAUAUACUUAUAUGAUGAAUACCUUACUUGUUACAUUUUUCAUCCAAUAACUUUGGAAUAUCAGUUCAUGUCUAUCUUUGUUCUUUUUUAUACAAUUUCACUUAAAAAUCAUGACAGAUGUCUAAAGUUAUUAGAAAGGUUAUAAUUUCAUUAUCAUAAAACCAAGUUAGCAUGUUCAAUGUUUCUUAUGUCUUUUAUGAGAACUCCACUAUGGAAAAUAUGAAGACCCUAAUUAGCAAAAAUAUUUUCAAGGUAGCCAUUGGGAAGGCCAGACAUGGGCUGUGAUGACUAAUUUGAGCUCUAAAAUUACGACAUUGAACGCAUGUAGAAAGAUUAAAUUAUGCAUUCACUUAUACUUUUAAAUGAAUUUUCAUAUUUUCGAAAAGGUAUCCAUUGGGGAAAUUUCAUUGCAUAAAAUUUCUCUCCCAUGCUUUAACAGGAAAUAUGAGUUCAAGAAAAUGACAAGCUUUCAAUUUCUUAUUUACCUUUAUGUAAUUUACCAGGAGUAGGUUACUGUUCCUAAUAGUGAGCCCUCAGCAUAAUUGAGUAGUAAUAAAAUCUAUUAACUUAGGAGAUAGUGAGUUAAUGGUCGACACAUACAUAGCGUGUGUCAGCUUCAAGGACAGGUUUAUUAAAAUGAUUUGAUGAUGAUGAAUCUGCAUAUCGUUAAUCAAAUCAUAAAAUUAUUGCCAUUGAUUAAACAUACCCUGAGAAUCAAUUCAGACAUAUUUGAAGAAAUGAUUGCCAUAUCUUUAGAAAAAAAAUUUUCAUGGUAAAAGUAUCUAGUGUAAAUGCAAAGAUUCUACUUAAUUACUCAUCAUUUUAGAUUCAUCAAAGGGUUUAAAAAUCACCUCAAAAUCAGUAUUUCAAUUGGUGGAUACAUUUGCAAUCAGAAUUACAGAUCAUACACCUAGAUUGGAAAAAACAUUUUUAGAUAAAAAAAAUUCAUAUAUGUAGUUUGAGGUGCAAGGAUGUUUAUUUGAACAUGAAUUAUUCUUGAAACAAAUUUGAAGUGAUAAUUAAGAGAUUAAUAAAUAAAAAUGUAUGGGCUAAAUUAUUGAAACUAAGCUUAAGAGAGAGUGUUUGAUAUAAAUUUUUUGUGAUGAUUUGAAUUUAUUCUAUAUUUAAAAUCAUUACUUUAUUUCAAUUAACAGCCACAGAUUACCAUUAUAUUUUUUUAAUUCAGGUUUGAUCCUAUUACAGCCAUUCAUCCUAGGAUAUCUACCUAAUUUCUUAAAGACUUUGCUAUUUGUUGCUUAAAGACAUGUGUUAGACUCAAAGGAGACAUCAUAUUAAAUAUUUUUUUUAGAUUUCCUAAGUUUAGAAAUAGAAUAUUAAACAGAUAAAAAAAGAAAAAGACCAUAUUAAAAUUAUAUCUAUAAAUUAGGUCUUUGUCAGUCAUUUGAAUAUCUCUUUGCUGUCUAUUUUCUUGUGCUUUUCAAUCAACAUUUUCCAACAUCAAAUGAAAAGAAGUUUGAAGAAAAUACAAAGUCCAAGUCACAAUUGAGGAAUCAAAAAGGAGGAAGUGAAAUCUAAUCAAGAAAACAUUUCAUCCCUAUCGAGAACCAACAAGAACAUUUUUACACUCAAAGAAGCGUGUGUGAGUAGAGGAUCAAAAAAUCAAGAACAAUUAAUUAACCUCUUUAUUAAUAUACACCAAUUCAUUUGCAUCAAGCUCUUAGAAUGUGAUAGAAGCUCACUUCAUGAGGAAAAUUUUUAAUAUUCAUUUUUGGUUAAACUUUUCAUGAUCACAUUUAAUCACUCAAUAGAGCUUAUCAUCAUAAUCAACAAUUGGGCAUUUUAAAGCUGUGAAUUUAGGCUGAGCUAUAAGUGAAAUUUAGAAGGAACUGAGCCCUUGUAAUCAAUGAUAAAUGCUUACUUAGCAGAACUCAAAUGCAAGGUGUUUUUGAAAGGUUGAGUUGGUACAUGAGACAAAGCUAUAUAAAAUGUAUUAUGUUCUUCAUUGAUUGUUUUAAGAAUUAAGAAAAAAUAAGGGAGUAAUUAAGAUAAGAGAAGAUCAUAAAAAUUCAAAUCCAACUAAUUCCACCCCCCCCUCUCAUCUCGGUUGAAGUGGGGCCUUAAAUCCAACAAUGUGUUCAUCUCAUCUCUAGAUGAAACUAUAGUUGUAGACUUGAUGUUGAGGGCACUUUAGUGGAGUUAUGGAACCUAAAGGCAAAGCUCUUAAAGAGAAGAGUUAGAAAAAUUAUGUGUCUUUUUUUUCCUACGAAAGAAGUCAACUAUUGGCUUCACCUAUCUUGGAAGCAAAGAUCUAAAUUAGAACAAAAUUUUCCUAGGCUUAUCAGUUCAUUCCUAAUUCUUCUUAUUAGUCACUUGGGACAAAGUUUCAAACACUAGAUGACUGAAAAAUACACUAAAAAAAUAUUAGAGGGUUAAAAAUAAGAUGAACAUGUGAAUAAAUAUGAAAGAUAAAUUCUUAUUUCCAGGGCUCUCUUCAAAAUAAAUCAAAACUUAUGUUCUUAUACUCAAGCCCAAACUUCUUUGGGAUUCAUAAGAAAACAACGAUAUCAAGAAUGAUGAAAAUUAUAAUAAUAUGCAAGAUAAAAUGACUUUCCUACCUCUACACAUAUUUUCAAUAAUUGUGUCAUAUAAGUUCAUUUUAGUUUUAGUUCUACAGUAAGACACUUACUUUGCAAGUUAUAUCUUUAUUUUACGCUCAAACAAGCUCUAACUAUGCUUUUCUGAAGGAUGUUGCAUUAUUGUAUCCGGGUGGAGAUCUUGAACAAUAAGAGAUGGAGCCUUAUAUUUUCCUUGCAGAAUAUGUACACAAUUUUUCAGGCCUUUCUCCGUUGUUGGCCUGUGAAUCAUAUCUCGCUGUUCACAAGAAAAAAUGAUAUUCGGUUCGGCUGAUCCGAAAUUCCGGAAUCCCGGGGACAAGUGGGGGACUCGUAGCCGCAUUCACGGCCACCCAAACCGAGCAGGCCCAUGGAAGAAGACGACGACGGAGCCGGGACCCCCAAUCUCUUCUUCUGAGAAAGGGAAAGAAAAACUAGAGAGAGAGAGGAGGGAAGAACAGAAGGCGAUGGCUUCUCUCUUCGCCGCUUCCACACCGCCCCGUCUCCUCCACGGCGCCGGUCGACGGCCGUCGGCCUCGUCCACGCCGGCGGCGACGAGGGUCGAGCUUCCCCCCGCCGGAGACGCGAUAAAGGUGGAAUCUUUGGUCGAUUUGCAGCUCAAAGUAGGAGACCCAUGGCGGCGGCUGAAGGAUCCUGCCGAUGGCGGCGGCGCCGCUGGCGAGCUGGUCCUCCUCAGAAGCAGCAGCAGCGGCGGCGGCGGCAGCGAGAGGGACGAGUUCUACCUCAACCUGGGCAUGGCGGUCCGCACGCUCCGCGAGGACCUCCCCGCAGUCUUCUCCCGGGACCUCAAUUACGACAUCUACAGGUGCGUUAGGGUUCCGGCGUGUCGCAAUAUAGGGUUCCGGCGACCUCUGGGACCUCACCCUCUUCCUCAUCUUCCUCCUCCUUGGCAGGGCCGACAUCACCUUCUCCGACCCGCUUAACGCCUUCCAUGGCAUCGACAAUUAUCGGCUGAUCUUCUGGGCUCUGCGCUUCCAUGGCCGGAUGCUCUUCCGCGACAUCGCCAUGGACGUCCUGAGGAUUUGGCAGCUCUCCGACGAUGUCAUCCUCGUCCGCUGGAAUCUCCGGGGAGUUCCCCGGGUUCCAUGGGAGACCAGGGGGGAGUUUCAGGGGACUUCCAGGUACAAGCUCGAUCGCCGGGGAAAGAUCUACGACCACCGGGUGGACAAUCUCGCCUUCAACUUCCCCAAGAUGAUGACGCCGCGGAGCUCCGCCGCCGUCGUCCUCGACCUGGUCGCCGCCUCCCCAUGCCCCCCCAUCGCCGGCGCCAGUUUCUCCCUCCUCUCCGGCGGGCACCAAACCAGCAGCGCCACCGCCGGCCACCGCUGCUCCUGGGUGGAGUUCUACCGGGCCGUCAAGGAGACCCUCGACCACCGCAAGCUCCUCGUCGCCGGCGAGCAGGAGACCGGCCUCGCCGCCUGCUCGUAGCUGCUGGGCCGACGACGGCGCACCGCUGUAUAUAGAUAGGACUCGGCGGCGCCGCCUGCUCAGUCGUAGCUCAUAAAUCUUUCCGCCGCCGUGAACUCUCCCUCUCUAGCUGGAGCUUCUUCUUCCUCCCUGCUGGUUCAGUCGUAGCUCAUAUCUUCUUCGUUCAUCCUUUCUCUUGAGUUUGCUGCUUGAUUAGUUCAUCGUCUAUACACACAAUCUAUACGUAUUUACAUAUUCUUUGGCUAUUAUCUCCGAAUAAUGCGUGGAUUCAUAUGUAUUUAUGUAAGAUCUUCGGUUGUUGCUAUACAAGGAAACCCACUUUCUCUCCUCUCCUCUCUCUCUCUCUCUCUCUNNNNNNNNNNNNNNNNNNNNNNNNNNNNNNNNNNNNNNNNNNNNNNNNNNNNNNNNNNNNNNNNNNNNNNNNNNNNNNNNNNNNNNNNNNNNNNNNNNNNNNNNNNNNNNNNNNNNNNNNNNNNNNNNNNNNNNNNNNNNNNNNNNNNNNNNCUCUCUCUCUCUCUCUCUCUCUCUCUCUCUCUCUCUCUCUCUCUCCUCUCUCUCUCCUCUCUCUCUCUCUCUCUAUUCUCUCUCUCCUCUCUCUCACCUCGUCGCUGGGGUAUAUAGAAACUGGGUAGACUCGGACUGUCGAGAUGGUGAGUAUUAGAGAAAUUUUCCAGAUGCUUCAUCAUUCCAUCGAGGCUCUUCCGGGGCCAUCAGCCACUUAUCCAGGCGCCGAGUAGAAACAAAGUCAACCCACCCGAACAAACUAGUACCAACAAAGUCAACCACAACAAGAAUCGCGCAACACAAUAUACCUUAACUGCCGCAUGAAUUUUGCGGCGUUAAAGUCAACCCACCAGGAGGAUCUCGCAAUUAAGGAAAACCCACAUGAUGUGUGCUCCAAUCUCCGAGCAUUCUACUGACCCUCAGUCAAAGAACCCAUAAAAAUAAAGGAUCUUGCAGCAAAGUCAACCCGCCCACAAAGAAUCUCAGAGCAGCAUGAUAAUAAUAUGCUCCACAUUCUGAGGAGUCAGCUCUGAUCAUCAGUGCGAAGUCAACCCGCACAAGGAAUCUCGCAGCAAGAUGAAAAAUAUACUCCACACUCUGCAACAUCCACCAUAGCCAUAUGUAAAUCUCGUUAUGGCAACAAGGUCAACGCACACCGACGAAUCUCACAACAACACGAGCUACCUCACACUCUGAGCCAUCCAUCCGCUCGAAACGCCAGUACAAGAACCAAAUGAAGAACCAACCUCAAGGCAACAAAAAGUCAACCCACAUGAAGGAAGGAGGGCCUUGCAAGAACAUCAGACCAUAGCCAGCAGCAGGCCAAGAACCCCAGAUGGAAAUCUCGUUUCAGCAACAAAGUCAACCCACACCAAAGAAUCCCUCAGCAACAUGGUAUUACCCUCCACGGUCUGAGCCAUUUGCAGCAACCAUUCGCUCAUACCACCAUUAUAGGAAAGCACACGGCAGCAGCAAAAGUCAACCCACAUGGAGGGAGGACCUAGCAGCAACAUCAGAGUGUCAAAGUAGAGCUGACCUCCGUGAUGCUGCUAGCCCCAAGCCAUCUGCUCUCACAACCAGUACAAGAACCCCCAUGAAGAUCCAACCUGCCCACAACAAAAGUCAACCCACAUGACGCAGACCUCGCAAGAACAUCAGGCUGUGAUAGUGGAGCUGACCCCGAGCCAUCUGCUCAAACCACCAGUGCAAGAACCCACAUGAAGAACCAACCUCACAGCAACAGAAGUCAACACGUGAAAGAAGGUUGACCAUGCAGGAACAUCAGGCUCUGAAAGCCGACCCACAUGAAAGACGGUCAACCUCCCAGCCACAUUGUCAACCCCUCCUCCGUAUCAGACUAUGAAAGUGGAGCUGGCCCUCCAUGGAGGGUCAGCUGAGAGGAUUCAGAGCAAAUAUGAAGGCGGCGGCCAGGCCGAUUCGAUCGAUCGUAGAAAUUACAUGUAUGUUCAAAAUGAUGAGUUUUUCACGGCGGAGGGUCUCCUCUGAGAAGGAGGAGGGGAGAGGGUUGACCUGAUCUCCGGCGAGGAACUGGGGAAGAGCACAUCCAGGCGGUGCAGCAGAACAUCGGCCUUGGAGGGGAUCUCGUUGACCAAGAACUGCUGCACGAUGGGCCUCUUGAACCAGUCGAGCACUGCCUCCCCGGGCGCCCUGAGCACCACCCGGCCGACCUCAAAUGGCGACUCCAGCGCCGCCAGCGCCGCCGCCACCGCCAUCCUCAGCGACGGCCCCGUCACCAGCUUGAUCCUCCUCGGCACCACCCCAUAGUAGAGCAUCCUCUUCCGGAAGCGGUGCAGCGUGUGCGCCACCGCCGCCAGCGCCGCCCCCACAGAAAGACUGCGCACAUCCAGCGACCAGGCGAUGUGCUGGUCGAACACAAUGGCCUUGGGGAAGAGCUUGCUCUCGUAGGCCACCUUCCACACGCACCGGGCCCUGUUCAUCUGCCCCAUCAGAACCAGGUAAUUCAGCAGCACGUUGACGAAGUACCUGGCGGCGCCUUCCUCGAGCUCCAUGUCCAGCCCAUGGAAGAAUUCUCUGACCAGGGCGAGCACCGGCUUCCCCCGCCGCUCGGGGCCAGAGAAGAGCUCGCAGAGGAAGCGGUGCGCAGGGUGGCCGGUGGCGGCGAGGAUGCCCAUGAGGCGGCGCUCGUCACCUUCUUCCCUGCACCGCACCAGGUGGGCGAGGAUGGAGGUGUAGAGGAUGAGGUCAACCUUGGCGGCGCCGCCAACGUAGGCCUCCAGGAGUGGGCGAGCGGCGCUGUACAGGCCCGCCCGCAUGCAGGACUCGAACAGCUGCCGGACGAUAAAAUUGUUGGUCCUGACGCCAGCGGAGCCCAUGAAGUGCAGCCAACGGAGCGCGAGCUCGGUGGUGCCGCCUCGGAUGAACCCCAUGAGGACGUCGCUGGCGGCGACGUCUGCCGGAAAACCUGCCGCCUUCAUCUCCAGCAGGAUCUUCCCCGCCAUGUCCGGCAGCUUCUUGCUCGACAGCGCCGACAGUAGGGCGCUGUAGGUGUUCAGACCAGGUCUCAUUCCUGCUCCGGCCAUGGAGGUGUAGAGCUUCAUGGCAGCGUCGACCUCGCCGGCGGCGGCGUGGGUCUCGAUCAGGGACGCGUAGGUCGCCGGCGUCGGCAAAAAGCCCGCCUUUUCCAUCUCCGCGAAGAGGGCGGCGGCGCCGUCAAGCCGGCCGGACCUUGCAUGGGCCUCCACCAUGGCGGUGAAUAGGGCGAAAUUAGGGCGAAAGCCCAUCGUCUUCAUCUCCUCCCAGAGCUUCACGGCGGCAUCAAGCUUCCCGGCCUUCACGAAGGACUCGAUCAUGGAGCCGAAGGUGGCGGCGGAGGGGCGGUGCCCGUCGGCCUGCAUGUCGCAGUACACCUGCAGAGCGAGCUCCAGCCUCCCGGACUUGCCCAGAGAAUCCACCAGGGAGCUGAAGGUCUGCAAGCUCGGCCGGAGACCGGCGGCGGCGCUAGUCUUCAUAUCAUUGUAGAGCUUGAGGGCGGCGUCGAGGCGGCCAGAGCGGGCCAGAGCAGGAACCAGGAGGUUGUAGGUGGCGCCGUCGAGGGCGCAGGAGGAUUCCGCCAUGGAUUCGUAGAUCUCGAAGGCCUUGUAUGGGAGCCCCUUCGAGAGGAAGAGGGUGAUGAGGGCGUUGAAGGUCUGGGUCUCCACGGCGGCGCCGCCGGCGAGGAGGUUCUUGAAGCAGUGGAAGGAGACCUCCAGGCGGCCCGCCCGGGCCAGGUACUGGACGGCCCUGUUCCCGGCGCCGGAGAAGGACGCGGCGCCGCCGCCGCCCUCCGCCAUGAGGUCGUCGAAGAGGGCCUGCACGCCGUCGAAGUCGCCGGCGGAGUUGAGGCGGUCGAGGAGCAGGGAGUAGGAUCCAUCGUCGGGGGCGUACCAGGGCUGCCGGCGAGCCCACCGCAGGAGCCCCAGCGCCGCCUCUGUGUCGCUGGAGGAAGAGGAAGAAGAAGGAGAAGAUCGGAGGAGGUGGGAGAUGGCGCGGGAGAGUUGCAGAGGCGAAGGGACGAACUGGAGGCGACUGAGGUUGGACUCCAUGUCGGGGCCCCAUCGCCAUCGCCUGACAACCUCGAGGAUCUUGGCGACGGCGGCCCCGUCGGAGAGCGGCGUGGGGCGGUCGCCGACGAGGAAGUGCGAGUCCUUCCCUGGAUUGACGGGGCGGACGAAGCCCUUGCCGGAGCAGAUCACCUCGCCGCCUUCGUCCAGGUACUCGACCACCUCCUCCGUCGCCCAUCCCUCGGCGGCGCCGCCGCCUCGGGUGGAGGAAGAUGAUGAUGGGUUAGAGAAGAAGCGACGGAAAAGGCCGCCGCCCUGUGGGGGGCCGCCUAUGGCGGCGGCGGCGGUAGGGUUUUGGAGGGUUUUCAGGUGGUGGCGGAGGGAGCGGAGGAGGGAGCCUGUGACGUGAUGGCGAGAGACGUUGGAGAGCAUCUCCGCCGCCUGCUCCGCCGCCGGCGGGGAGGAGGACGACGACGACGCGACGAGGGCUCGAGAAAAAGGGGACACCUUUCUGCGAUUUAGGGUACCCAGAGCUGCCUCCGAACCGAUACCAAAUCCGAUAAACGAAUAAUCGUUAAUUUCAGCUUAUAUUAUACCAUAAAACCUUAUAAAUAAAUAAUCUGUAUGAUUUAAAAUCUUCAAAUGCCAAUCAUCAGACUGAAUUGUCCCCAGGGAAUUAUUCGUGUUUAUAAAAUAAUAAAUGACGUCAUAUUCAUGAUCAAAGCUUUCAUAAUUCCAUGCAGAAAAGAGGUGAACUCUUUGCAAGGAACUAAAAGGCUCCCAAAACAUCAUAUAGAGAUUGGAUUUUAUUAGUAAAUAUGAAUAAAUACAAUUUUUUUCAAAUUAAAUUCCUAAAUUCGAUGAUUUUAGUUUACAAUUACAAAAUCUCAAUUGUUAUAUUAACAUAUGUGAAAGUUCUUCUGAAUCAUGGUCUAACUUGGUGAUGCCAUCAUCAUGACCCAUGCAAACCCGGACAUGAAAUUCCUCUGCUCCACACAUGCCACAUGAUACUGGCAUGUGCUGCAGUCAUGAUGUCGUAUGACUCCACAAAUACCACACAUGAUGUUUGCACCUUACCAUGUUAUGUCACGCAUGUACAUACCUAUUUAUGUGAGUGGCAAGUACGAAGCAAAGGAUGUAAUAGUUUCAUAUCCAAAAACAUCUAACUAAGAACUAUAUUUGAUUGGAAAAUAUGAAUAAAAAUAACUUUAUUCUAUGACAGUUGUUUAAACAACUCAUUUUGAUGAUUACAAAAUGUCAAAUGUUAUACAAACUAUGUUCAUGCCAUGAAAACCAUUUUUUGUGAAAACUGGCUUAAAAAUAAAUGCAAUUUGAUAGGACUUGAUCAUGUAAUUUAUAGACAGAGGAUAAAGAAAAUAAUUUGAAAUAUGUGGAAAACUAUAAACCCAAGCAAAAGUAGUGAUUUAUGUAACAUCUAUUGAUAAAUGAGACAAACAUAGAAAUUCAAAGAAAUAUAGACAUGGUCUAUAACCUAAGAAUUUUGAUUUUCAACCCAAAGACUGAAAAAAGGGAGUACUAUAAAAAAUUAGAGUUCAAGAUUCAAUGAUUACAUACUAUAAGGGUAGUGUGCCAUUACAUUGCAUGAAAUAAUAAAAAUUAAAAUAUAUUCAAAAGUAGUUCCUAAAGGAAGAACUUUUCCAUAUAGAGAGUUGACUAUUUCAAACUGGAAAAAUGCCUUCAAAUGGGAGGUUCUUAAUGCUUCUAUGCUCUCAUAAAUGAAAAAUUUUAAAACCCAUUUUUUCAGCUCAUAAGAUUCUCCAAGCCAUCAACUCAGGAUUCAAGCAAAACCUCCAAACUAGUUCUCAAUUCUAUCAAAAGUUUUAUAAUUAUAUUUAUUCCAUUUUUCAUUACAAAAUAUUUGCUUUUUAAUUAAACAACACUUUAGUAAAAAGGCUUAUUCAAUACCGUAUGAAGAUCAAUUUUGAUAGGUUGAAAGAAACUAGCAUAAUACCAAAGGAGAUAACGUCAAGAGUGAGAUGACUUGCAUUGCCUAAAAUAAAAUAUAGAGUUUGUUAUCCAUCUUUACGUAUGAUUUUCUCUUUCCAUAUCAAACUUUCCAGCGAGACAUUUAGUAUAUCACCUUUCUUGUAGAAGAACACAAUACCCACCCAAUUAACGUUUUUUGCAUAAAGUAUCAAAGGUCAUAAUCCGAAACUAAUUUUUUUUUGUUCAAAGAUGAAGUAAGAGAUCUAAUUUCCAUCACAGAAGGCACAAAUUAUAGUGGAACUUUAAAAAUUUUAAAUGGAUCAAAGAACAGCAACCAACUAUGGUUUAGAAGAUAAUCAAGAUAGAUUUAGAUGACUCUCGAGUACAUGUACUCCACUUCAAAAGUCAUCACACAGAAGAUUGCCGAGAAAGCUUCAGAUAACAUUAAAGCUUGGCUUAUGAUAAAAUAUCCAGAUAUAAUUUCCAAAAGUUGAAGCCCACUAUUUCCUGUCAUAUUAAUAAGUUACUAGAGAGUUGGGAUAACAUGGAGGGGUCGUGUGUGAUGACUAUAGUUAUCCUUCUGGAAAUGGGUCCACCCAGCCCAAUUUUUCAGACACAGAGGCUGGUACAGAGCGGCAGGGCCAGAUUGUCCUGUUGUCUGCGAUAUUAUCCAGUUUAUGCCGUCAUAUCACUCAACGGCGGUAAACGCGUUGAAAGAGAGUGGGUGCCAGUGAGACCUCUUGAGAGCACAGUGGACGACUGGCUGCCUAGUCGAUAAUCCCAGAGCUGCUGUUUACUUCCCCACGGCGGAGGAGAUCGUAGCGGAGCGUGGAGAGAUGGGGANNNNNNNNNNNNNNNNNNNNNNNNNNNNNNNNNNNNNNNNNNNNNNNNNNNNNNNNNNNNNNNNNNNNNNNNNNNNNNNNNNNNNNNNNNNNNNNNNNNNNNNNNNNNNNNNNNNNNNNNNNNNNNNNNNNNNNNNNNNNNNNNNNNNNNNNNNNNNNNNNNNNNNNNNNNNNNNNNNNNNNNNNNNNNNNNNNNNNNNNNNNNNNNNNNNNNNNNNNNNNNNNNNNNNNNNNNNNNNNNNNNNNNNNNNNNNNNNNNNNNNNNNNNNNNNNNNNNNNNNNNNNNNNNNNNNNNNNNNNNNNNNNNNNNNNNNNNNNNNNNNNNNNNNNNNNNNNNNNNNNNNNNNNNNNNNNNNNNNNNNNNNNNNNNNNNNNNNNNNNNNNNNNNNNNNNNNNNNNNNNNNNNNNNNNNNNNNNNNNNNNNNNNNNNNNNNNNNNNNNNNUCCCUUCUUCUCUCUCUCUCUCUCGCUCUCUCUCUCUCUCCCUUCGCCUGGACUCCUUGCUCAUUUUCUUGAGAAUUCGGGCAAGCUGGGGUCGGCAUCCGCUUUAUGAUUUUCCUCAGAUCCCCUCUGCGCUGGGUUCCGAGGAGCUGCCUUUCCUUCUCCGCGCUUCCUCUCGCAGCCGAAAAUUAGGCGGGUUUCUGCCGACCUAAAAUUAGGCGGGUAAUUAACCCACUUUAUAAGCCAACCUAAAAUAAACGAACAUUAAGCCAUAAAAGGCGGCUAGUCACUAGAUGACAAAAUUGCCUAAUAAGACAAAAUAAUUUUGGAUUAAAAUAUUAACACUCCCCCUUAAUAUAAAAAUGUAUGAAACCAAGAGCCUCUUUGAACUUGAUAAACUUCAUGUAACUUAAUGCCUUAGUAAAACCAUAUGCGACUUGAUCUGAACAAAAUUUCAUCUCAAUAUAAUUUUCAAUAACUAAAUCUCGAAUAAAAUGAUGUUAUAUCUCAAUAUGUUUUGUUCAUCUAUGAAACACUAGAUUCUUGGGCAUAAAAAUAGUUGACAAAAUGUCACAAUAAAUCAUUGUAGGCAUUGAUUGUGAAAAAUUAACAUCUUGUAAAAGAUUCUUUGCAUCCAUAUUGCAUGUUGCACAAUUAUUGAUGUAACAAUAUAUUUAACUUCAGAAGGUGAUAAAGUAGUAGAUUCUUGUUUUUAGAAACUCAUGAGAUUACACCUAAUUCAAAAUUGAAACAAAACCACUUGUACCUUUUCUAUCAUCAAUAGAACCUACUCAAUCACUAUUUGAAUAACCAUAAAAUUAAAUUCAGAACUAUGUCGAUAUAAGAUUGUAUAAUUUAUAGUUUCACAAAUAUAUCUUAGUACUCUCUUUAUGCUCCAAGACGAUGAAUUGAUGGUGAGUGCAUAAAUCUCGAAAUCAUAUUGACUGAAAAUAAGAUAUCUGGCCAAGUAUGGGUUAAAUACAUCAAACCACUGAUCAUGUUUCUAUAAAAAUAUUCAUUUAUUUUUGCAGUCCCAUUUUUAAGACAUUAUUUGUCAUUUAUAUUCAUAGGAGUAGAACAAGUCUUAUAGUGAAACAUAUUGAACUUCUUGAAUAGGUCAUAUGUAUACUUUUCUUGUGAAAUAAAUAUGCCAUGCUCAUUUUGAAUGAUUUUAAGUCCAAGAAAAUAAUGAAACAAUCCUAAAUCUAUUAUAUCAAACUUUGACAUUAUAUAUUUCUUGAAAUAUGAUACUAAUGACAAAGAUGAUCUAGUAUAUAUAAUAUCAUUAACAUAAACACAUACAAUCAAAAUAUUUUUAUUUUGAAUCUUGCUAUAAAGUGUUGGUUUAUUAUCACUUAUAUGAAAAUGAUACUUAUGAAGAUAAGAGUUAAGUCUACUAUACCAAGCUCUCGGUGCUUGCUUGAGACCAUAAAGUGUUUUCUUUAAUUUAUAAACUUUGUUCUCUCUUCUUUUAAUAACAAAAUAUUGUGGUUGCUCAAUAUACACAUUUUCAUUCAAAUAACCAUUUAAUAAAGUUGAUUUAACAUUAAAUUGAAAUACUUUUCAUUUGCUAAGGCCAAAAUAAUACAAACUGUCUUAAAUCUUGCAGUUGGAGAAAAUUUUUUAAAGUAAUCAAUACCUAUUGUUGUGCAUAUCUUUCACCAUUAACCUUGCUUUAUAUUUUUGAAUAGUAUCAUAGGUUUAUGUUUCACAUUAUGAACCCACUUAACUCCAAUUACCUUUGUUUGUGAUGGUAAAUCUAUUAACUCCAUGUGUCAUUUUUCUCAAUUACUAUGAUUUUUUAUUGCAUUACUUUUUCCCAUUCAUCUUUGUCUUGUACUUCUUCAUAACUUGUUGGCUCUACAACCAUGAGAGCAAAAAGACAUGAUUCAUAAAUGUCACUUAAAGAUCUCAUUUUUCUUGGAGGACUUGGUGACUCUAAACUUGAAUUAGUGUGGCCACUAAGACAACCAGAACCACUUGGGGAAAAUUUCUAAGGUGUAAUAGAUGAUGUAGAUAUUUCAUCAAUUAGAUUUUAACCUUACUAAAAAUUUUCUUACCCAUCAUCAUAAGAAGAUAUUUGAUGAAUUGGCUUUGUACUUUAAUUAUAACAAGAAACUUCAUCAAAUAUAACAUCACGUCAAAUCAACAACUUUUUUGUUUCAGGAAUAUAUAAAUGAUAACCUUUAUUGUCAUCACUAUAACUAAGAAAAAUACAUUUCUCACUUUUCUUAUCCAUCUUGCCACUAUCACCUCCAUUAAUGAAGUAUAACAAAUACACUCAAAAACUUUCAAAUGACUAACAUUAGGCUUCAAUGAUACCAUGCUUCAUAAGGAGUCAUAUUAAAAAAAGCCUUCGUAGGAGAAAUAUUCAAAAGAUAAGUAGAAGUUACAACUGCUUCAACUCAAAACUCAUUAGGCAAAUAUUUCUUACUAAGCAUGCUUCUUGUUAUCUCUACAAUUGUUCUAUCUUUUCUCUCAACAAUACCAUUUUACUCUAGAGUUUUUCUAAUCGUGAGUUGCCUUUUAAUUUCAUACUUCUUAUAAAAUGACUCAAACUCUUGAGAAAUAAAUUUUCCCCCUCGAUCUAUUUGAAGGGUUUUAAUAACAUACUCACUCAAUUUUUCAAAAAAAGUUUUGGAAUGAACAAAUUUCUCAAAUGCUUCAAACUUGCGAGCAAUAAAGUAUACCCAACUUAUACAUGUAAAAUCAUCAAUAGUCAAUAAAAAAUAUUGAUUUUCAUUCAAAGGUGAUGUCUUCAUUGGAUCAUAUAAAUCAGCAUGUAAGAACUCAAGAGGAAAUUUUGCUCUCCAAGAUUUUCCUAUUAGAAAUGAUGGUCGGUAUUGUUUAGCAUAAACACAUCCUUCACAUAUUUUGUCACUUACUGAAAUAGAGGGUAAUCUAGAAAUCAUAUACUUGUGAUAUAAUAAUCUCAAUGCAUUGAAAUGUAAAUGACCAUAACGUAAAUGCCAAAGUGAAGAUGAAAUCAUUAUCUUUUGUAAUCAUACCAAACCCAAUAAACCUUGAAAUAUCAAGUGGAAAUAUUCUUUUUCCAACAUUUGAAAUUAUCAUAGGAGACAUACCACUCUUCUUAUGCUUGAUAACACAUCUAUCAUCUUCAAAAUGUAUAGUAAAACCACAUUCUAAUAAUUGAGUCACACUAAGUAAAUUAGGUGCCAACUUUGAAAUAAAAUAAAUAUCAUGAAUCAAAAUAUAUGCUUCUGAAUUUGUACGAAUAAUAAUAGUACCAAUAUUUUCAAUUUUCACACUCUUUUCGUCACUAAUAGUAACUUCACAAACCAUGAAAGUAUUAAUAUUUUGAAAUAAUUUUUUUCACUUGUCAUAUGAUUACUAUAGCCACUAUCAACAAACCACACAUUUGAUUUACUUGAGCUUGAUGAUGCGUAAGUGAUAAAUAACUUAUUCUCAUCAUUUUCUUCAACAAUAUUUACUUGAUCUCUUUUCUUGACCCAACAAUUUACUUCUGUAUGACCAUACUUCUUACAAAAUUUACAUAUUAGUUUAGAACUGGCUUCUUUUGUAAUUUCUUGUUUUGUUUUAUCCCAUCAAUAUGCCUCAAUGAGACCAUAUUUCUUACAAAAAUGAUAUUGCAUGAUUCUAUAAUUUGAAUUCUGAUUUUUUUGAUUUCUUCCAUCACUUCUUUGGUGCACAUAAUGUGACAUACCAUAUCCACAUCCACAACCUCUAUUUUGAUAGUAUCCUCUACCAUGACUACAUUGAUUGAAUGUAUUUUCACUAUUCUUCUCUUCCUUUGAAAUUUCAAUCUUGACUUAAAAUACUUGUUCAAGUGAUUUUUCUAUUGAUCUAUUCAUUUGUUCUUCAUUUACCAAUAGUGCUCCAAUCAAUUCAUUUUGAGUAUAAGCAGAUAAAUUCUUAGAUUGUUCAAUGGUAGUAACAAUCUGAUCAAAUUUAGAAGGUAAACUUCUUAAAAGUUUCUCAACAAUUCUUCUUUCUGAAAUAUCUUCUCCAAAAAUUCUCAUAUGAUAUAUAAUAACAUAAACUCUAGAAAAGAAAUCAUAUAUUGAUUCAUCAGAUUUCAUAAAAAUAAUUUUAAAUUCUCGACAAAGUCUUUCAAGUUGCACAUUCAUAACUCUAUUAUCUCCAUAAAAUUCAUCUUUCAAAAUUUUCCAUGCUUCAAAAGAACUGGUGGCAUUAACAAUAUAUAGAUAAAUUGUCUCUGAAAUAAAUUAUUGUAAAACUAAUAAAGCUUUAGCAUUGUUUUUCUAAAAAUCUUUAUUUUUCUAUUUAAAACUUUCUCCUUUAUUACCACUCUCAACCAACUCUCAUAAAUCUUGUGAAAUAAAAAAUGUCUUCAUCUUGAUACUCCAAAAGUCACAUUUUUCUCCAUUAAAAGAUGAAAUUGGAGGUUGUGAGAGACUUAGAGGAUUACCACUAGCCAUUUCUAAUGUUAAUAGUAAUACCUCUUCUUAAAACUUUAACAAAAACUUUCUAUUUCUUGUUACGACAAGAAAAUUUUAAAAUAUUAAAAAAUCUUCACUAACCUCGUUUGGAGUAUCCUUUGAUGUUACUGCACUUGUUCACAAAUGACAACACCCAAUAGAUACUUGGUGCUCUGAUAUCACUGUUGGAAAAUAAUAAGUAAACCUUUGGGAGAAUAGGUGGAAAAGAGAGAGAGAAGAAAGAGGGGUAGAGGUAGACCCUUAAACUUACAUUAAUAAAAAACCAUAUAUCGUGGGAAAGGAGGAUAGUUAUUUAUAGGGUAAUUAACUGACUUUAUAAGCCGACCUAAAAUAAAGACAAAACGAUUUUGCAUUAAAAUAUUAACAUGCCCAUGGUCUGCCCACAUCUUCCUAAAUAUGUGCAAAAUAUCCAUUUCGGUGACGUGGGCUGAAACAAUAGCACAUGAAGCUCUCUCCCACUGCUGAUAUGCGACCCUUCUUCCAGUUCCAAAUUCAUGGUGAAUCAACUCUUGUGUUCAGGAACCCGAUUCUCCCACAUUUCGUACUCUUCAAACCCAACUGUCCUAUACUCCGAUGAGCUUCUAGCUCGCGGAAACGGGAGCUCAAUCUACCAAGCCCUCAUGCUUCGCAGAUAUAUGAUGCCGGGGCCAGGCUGUGGAUGACCAAGGGAGAGGCGCAGGCCGAGGCGAGGAAGGAGUUCAUCCAGAGCAUGAAGCUGAUGGAGGGAGAGCUCGGAGAGAAGGCGUAUUUCGGCGGUGAAGCCUUCGGGUUCCUAGACAUCGCCCUUGUGUCCUACGCUUCCUGGUUCCACACCUUUGAGGUGUCUGGAAGCCUCGACAUGGAGGCCGAGCUGCCCAAGCUGAUGGCCUGGGUGAAGAGGUGCAAGGAAAGGGAGAGCGUCUCCAAAGUCCUCCCAGACCCUCUCAAGAUCUACGACUUCAUGCUUUUCCUCAAGAAGAUACAUGGGAUCGAGUAGGUGGAGUGGAGAAUCAGUAGAACCACAGAGAGAGAGCUUCUGCUCCCUCUCUUUCUCUGUCUCGCUAUAGAUCUAUCUAUCUAUCUAUCUAUAUAUCUAUCUAGCAAUCUAUCUAUCGGUGUUAUGGAAUUUCCAGCGUCAGAAUAAGCUGGGAGAAGGAUACCCCGGCAAUCUUUGUCGCCACUGCCCUUCUCCUGUAGUCUUUUGUAAGUUUCAUCUGUUUGAUCUAUGAACUGUAUGGUACUUUCUUGCAGCUGUGAACUCUGCUUGAUCUUCUAUAAUUCCAUAAUGCCUCUGUAAGUCGUCCGUAUUCAGCAAUGUCUGCAAGAUUUGUUGGGGGUGAAUGAACCUUGAUGGGUUCUAGCGAGGGAAAAAUGUGUUUUUGUAUGGAAAAUAGCAUCAAAUUGAUAUGUGGAAUUGAGCUAUAUUUUAUCAUCAAAUUUAAAUGUCUGGUGGAUGCCACUUUUAUGAGGAAAGUAAGUUUUAGUCUUUAAUAUUAAUUGAAGUAGAUGCAGCCAAUUUCUGAGGAUGAAAAUUGAAGAGAUAGGUGAAAAGAAAUAAGUUGUUUUAAUAAAAUUCAUACUUGCAUUGCUUAUAUUUGACGAAUUUCUGUGGUAGAAUGAAACUUCAGACACCGAGUUGCGGGUUCCAAAUAGCCACGUCAUGUGAGAACUAUCAGACCUCGAAUUUAUUCAAAGAGAAGCCAAGUAUUACAAGUAAUUCAUGUGAGAACUGUCUUAAAAGAGUCCCAAAUUGGAGAACAUAUAAGAGGAUCGUCAUGAAUUUAGUGGGACAUAUUUCUACAAAGUAGUUCCUAUUAGUUCCCCAUCUUAAUAACAGUUCUGAUCAUGUAGGGCAUAUAGUUGAGAGAAGGCUGCAUUUCAAUUUCCUCGGAAAUUUAUUUUCUAGAAAUUUAAAACUGACUUCUAUCAUUUGAUUUUGGAUAUAAAUGUACAUAUGACGUCUUUUAAUUCAACGACUAAGAGAUCACCAAUCUUCCGGUGGAGAUAAUAAUACCCUGGAUAGAUCCUUCCUUGUCUUGUUCUCAUAUUUAUUUUCUCUUGUCUUGUUCUCAUAUUCCUUUUCUCUUGUCUUGUUCUCAUAUUCCUUUUCUCUCUUUACUCUUUUAUGGCUUACACAAGCUAUAAUCAACAGCAAAAGUAAGCUCAAUGGCACAGAAAAACUUUAAGAUAUAGUUUCAUCAUAUUUGUCAAUUAGCACCUGGCUGCUCUCUGCCCUUCUAGUGCUUAUGUAGUCUUGCUUUUUUUCUUUUGUUGAUUCAUCAUCUUCUUUGUAGUCAUUGUCACGUGAGACAAACAAGUGUGAAGACAAAAGGGAGUAAAAUAUGGAUGAACUGCCCCAGAGGGAAGUCCCGUCUAUUAAGAGAUGGGACACAUGCUAAAAUAUGACUCUUUGGGCUGAUAAGAAAUGGGCAACAUGCCCAAAAAUGUCAUUUGGCAUGGAGCCCCCUUAAAGCUUCACAUUGGCUCAUCUUCUUUGGGGAUAUAGAUAGCUUGGACGAGUCUUCAUCAUGUUAAUCUUGAAGCCUCUCUAGUUCGUCUUGAGGAUCUUCUUGUUGAUAGUUACUCAUUUGGGUCUCGUUCAAGGUUCGGUUAGAGCUAGCCCAUCUUCCAUCUUCGAUUGACAGUUACAAUAUUUACGUGUGCAUGAGUGUAUAUGUUAUAGUGAUAGAGCGAGUGAACGAGAGAGAGGGAGGGAGAGAUAGAGAGGAGGGGGGGGGGGAGGGAGAGAGGGAUAGAUAUAUAGAUAGAUAGAUAGAGAGAAGACUCGCCUUGAAUAGGACACAAGCAAUAGAGGAGAGAACACUGAGAGACAGGAUAGGUUCUCUCCCCCUGGACAAGCAAUCACCCAUGCGUUUAACGUCCACAAGAAAAAAGACCAAAAGCCUAAUCACCUCCCCGUUAUAUGAAUUACAGUAACUCAUAGCCUAAAAAAUAUAUAUAUAUAUCCACAUACACAAACAAAUAGAGAGAAAGAGAGUCAAUGAUUAGAUUUUUUAGGGGCAGUGUCCGAAUACUAUGCAUGGAAUAAUAACAUUUAUAAAUGUCCAAAACUAUUUUUGUCGAUGAAGGGGGAUCUUUUCCUCGCAAUGAAUGGACUAUCUCAACCAGAAAAAUUACCCUCAUGAGAGAUCAUCAGUGUUUUUAUGUUAUAAAUUAGAAAUUUUGAACCCCAUUUGCAACCUCAUGAGGUGCUCUACGCCCUCAACCCAAGAUUCAAGUAAGUCCUCAAUGCAAUAAAAGUGGGAAAAUUAAAAAUAACCAAUUCACUCCCCCUCUUGGCUCAUCAUUUUGCCUAUUUUGUGACUAGGCUUAGAUGUAAUAAUCAUAGACUUUCCUAUUAUAUUCAAUAUAAUCUAGGUCUUUAAUUUUAUAAUUUUUCUAGAUGUUUUAUAUUGGCUUGAUUUAUUUAUUACCUCUGUAUUUCAACGAAUUUAGUCAUAAAUUUUGGCAAGUUACUUUAUUAAAGCAAGUGACCAUGUCCCUCAAUAAACCAACACUCUCUUCAUGAGUAGAAAUUGAUAUAACCUAUUGAAAUUUUGACCACUAAUAUUGUAAGAGAUAAAAUUAAUGAUAAUAUUUUAGUAUUAUUGAUGACAAUCCUAAAGAGAACAGUCACCUCUACCUUCUUCAAUCAUAUUACAAAUACAUAUCCAACAUUUAAAAUAAUUUAUGAACUCAUAUUUAUCAUCAAGACUUGCAUAAUUCUAUGUAUAUAAGAGGUGAACUCUUCACAAGGAAUUAGAAGGCUCCAAAAACAUCAUAUAAAUAUUGGAUUUUAUUUUUAGAUAUGAAAAAAUACAACUUUAUUCAAAUAAAUUUUUUGAAUUCGAUGUUUUCAGUUUUCAAUUAUGAGAUCGCAAUUGUUAUGUUAACUUAUGUUAAAGCUCCUGUGAGCCCCACUCUGAUUUGGUCGUACAUCAGCCUGAGUCGUGCACACCUGAACGUGAAAUUCAUCUACUUAACACAUGCCAUACAAUGUGACAUGCUGCACUUGUGAUGUUGAAUGCUUCCAUGAAUAUGAAACAUGAUAUUUGUGGCUAACGAUGCUAUCUCAUGCAUCUACAUACCUAUUUAUGUGAUCUCGCAUGGCAACUAUGAAGCAAAUGAUGCACUGGUAUUUUAUCCAAAUCAUCCAACUAAGAACUAUAUUUGAUAGGAAAAUACGAAGACAAAUAAAUUUAUUCUAACAUUUCUUUAAACCAUUAAUUUUGACAAUUACAGAAUGUAGAGUUUUAUAUAAUUAUGUUAAUUUUAUGAGACCAGUUUUAGCCAUAAGUAACUUAAAAAUAAAGGAAACUUGAUAGGACAUGAUCAUGUUAUUUAUAGACAAAGGAUAAAGAAAAUCAUUUGAUAUGUACCAGAAAGUAUAAACCCAAGUACUAUCAGGGAUUUGUGUAACAUCUGUUGGAAAAUGGGACAAAAUAGAAAUUAAAAGUAAGAUAAACUUGGCCUAGAACACAGGGAUUCUGAUUUUCAAACCAAAGACGAAGUAUUAUAAAAUAUUAAAGAUCAAGAUUCAAUGAUAAAUUUUGUAGGGGCAGUGCCCCAUUACAUUGAAUCAAAUAAUAACAAUUAGAACUACAUCAAAAUCAGUUCCUGAAGGAGGAGGUUUUUUAUAUAGAGUUUUGACUAUUUCAAGAUAGAAAAAUCCUCUCAUAGGGGACGUUUAAUGCUUCUAUGCUCUCAUAAAUCAGAAAUUUUGAAAGCCCAUUUUUUCAGCUCAUGAGGUGCUCCAAGCUAUCAACUCAGGAUUCAAGCAAACCCUCCAAACUCAUUCCCAAAUUCUCAAUUCUAAUCGAAGUUUUGUAAAUAUAGUUAUUCCAAAUUUUUAUCACAUAAUGUUUGCUUUUAAUUAAACAAAGAAAAUUGUGUAGUAAAAAAUCAUAGUAAAUACCUUAUGAAGAUCAAUUUUGAUAGGUUGAAAGAAAAUUAGCAUAAUACUGAAGGAGAUACUUCAAGAGUAAGAUGUCUUGCAUUGCCCCGAACAGAAACAUAGAGCUUGUUGUCCAUCUCUUCCUAAUGUUUUUUCUCUUUCUUUCUAUAUAAAAAUUUCAACAGCUAGAUAGUAUAUAUCCCUUCUUAAGGAAGAACAUAGGUUUUUGCACAAAGUAUCAAUGGGUAUCAUCCCAAGCAGAUUUUUUUUUUUUCUGAGGAUGAAGUAAGAGAUCUAAUUUACAUUACAUAAGGCACAAAUAAUGGUGGAUCUUUAAAAAAUUUAAAUGGACCGGAAGAUAGCAACCCACUAUGGUUUACAAGGUAGUCUAGAUAUAUUCAAAUUGGAGCUUUCUAGGGUACUUGUACACUUCAAAGGUCAUCACACAUAGAAGAUUGCUGAUAAGGCUUCAGAUAGCAUUAAUGCUUGUCUUAUGAUAAAAUAUCCGAAAUAAUUUUGCAAAAAUGUAGACAACUAUUUCCUUAUAUAUUAAUAAGUUGCCAGAGAGUUGGAUCACAUGGGGGAGGGGUCAAGUUGUGUGUGUAGUGACUGCCUUUAUCCUUUUGCAAAUGGACCCACCCAACCCGAUCUUUAAAAUGCCGUCACUGUCAGAAGACUCCAAUAGACUGGCAGAUAACCUGACCCGAUUGUACCGUUGCAUAUGGCAGUACCUGACAAGAUAAGGAGAGAGAUAAAAUCACGUUUUGAUACCCAGGCAUUUGAAACAGAGUAGGUGCCGGUGAGAGUCGCUAAAUUUAUAGUGGAUGACUGGUCGCCUAAUGCAUAAUCCAAGAACUCCCGUUUGUUUCCCCACGGCGGAAGAGAGCAGAGCGUAGCGGAGCGGAAGAAAGCGGCGAGUGACGUGAUGGGGUNNNNNNNNNNNNNNNNNNNNNNNNNNNNNNNNNNNNNNNNNNNNNNNNNNNNNNNNNNNNNNNNNNNNNNNNNNNNNNNNNNNNNNNNNNNNNNNNNNNNNNNNNNNNNNNNNNNNNNNNNNNNNNNNNNNNNNNNNNNNNNNNNNNNNNNNNNNNNNNNNNNNNNNNNNNNNNNNNNNNNNNNNNNNNNNNNNNNNNNNNNNNNNNNNNNNNNNNNNNNNNNNNNNNNNNNNNNNNNNNNNNNNNNNNNNNNNNNNNNNNNNNNNNNNNNNNNNNNNNNNNNNNNNNNNNNNNNNNNNNNNNNNNNNNNNNNNNNNNNNNNNNNNNNNNNNNNNNNNNNNNNNNNNNNNNNNGCCCUUCUCUCUCUCUGUCUCUCUCUGUUGUCCCUUCGCCUAGUCUCUCGCUCACCGGGCCUAGGCUCCUCUCAUUUUCUUCGGCCGUUCUGAACGGAUCGACGAUCGAUCAUGAUUGCAGUACCCUAUUUAUGAUUUUCCUCAGAUUCCCGCUGGGCUGGGUUCUAGACGUAGCUACCUUUCCUUCUCCGCUCUUCCACUCGCGGCCGGAAAUUAGACGGGACUCUUUUUCCGUCCUUGUGCUCAGUUCUCCCCAUUGUCUGUCCACAUCUUCGAAAAUCUCUGGAAAAUCUCAUUUUCGGUGACGUGAGCAGAAACAAUAGCAUACGAAGCUCGCUCCCACUGCUGACAUGCGAUGCUUCUUCCAGUCCCAGAUGUUUCAUGAAUCAACUUUUGUGUUCAGAAAACUGAUUCUCCCUCAUUUCGUACUCUUCAAACCCAACCGCCCUUCAAUACUUCGACGGGCUUCUAGCUCGCAGAAACGGGAGCUCAAUCUAUCUAACCUUCAUACUUCGCAGAUGUAUAAUGCCGGGGCCAGGCUGUGGAAGACCAAGGGAGAGGCGCAGGCCGAGGCGAGGAAGGAUUUCAUUGAGGGCAUGAAGCUGCUGGAGGGGGAGCUCGGGGAGAAGCCGUAUUUCGGCGGCGAAGCGUUUGGGUUCCUAGACAUUGCUCUUAUAUCGUACGCUUCCUGGUUCCACACCUUCGAGGUGUCUGGAAGCCUCGACAUGGAGGCCGAGCUACCCAAGCUGAUGGCCUGGGUGAAGAGGUGCAAGGAAAGGGAGAGCGUCUCCAAGGUCCUCCCAGACCCUCUCAAGGUCUACGACCUCAUGCUUUUCCUCAAGAAGAUGUAUGGGAUCGAGUAGGAUGGGAGACUCCGGAGAACAGCGAAGAGAAAGAGCUUUUGCUCUCUCUCUCUCUCUCUCCCUAUCUAUCUAUCUAUCUAGCAGUCUAUCUAUCUUUCGGCGCUAUGGAAUUUCCAGCAUCGGAAUAACCUGCGAGAAGGAUACCCCUGCAAUCUUCGUUGCCUCUGCCCCUCUCGCGGAGCCUUUUGUACGUUUCAUCUGUUUGAUCUAUGGACUGCAUUCUCCUUUCUUGCAGUUGUGAACUCUGCUUGAUCUUCUAUAAUUCCAUAAUGGCUCUGUACGAUGUUCGUAUUCAGCAAUGCCUGGAAAAUCUAGUGGCGGAAAAAUGGGUUUCUGUAAGAAAACUAGCAUCAAACUCGCAUGUGGAAUGCAGAUAGACUUUAUCAUCAUGUUUAAAUGUCCAGUGGGUACCAAUUUUAUGAGGAAAAUUAGUUUUCAUCUUUUACAGGGAUUGAAAAUAAAUGAUUUGCUCUUAAAAAAAUCAUCCUAACAUUGCUUAGAGUUGAUGAAAUUUGUACAGAUGAUUGAAACUUUGCAUACUGGUUGUAAGGUUUGAAGUCGCCGAGUGAUGUUUUGAACCUUUAGAAAGAGACAACUGAACCUAAUUUAUUUAAAGGGAGAGAAAAAUAUUACAAGUAGUUGAUGUAAACCUACACCCUAUUGAUCUGUUUAAAAUUGAUGUUGACUAUUGAAAUUUUGAUGACAACUAUUAUAAGAGAAAAUAAUUAUGUGAAUAACAACACUUGAAGUCUUUACUUGCUUUAUUUUUUGAGGUUAUUGUUAGUAAUAAGUGGCCUACAAGCCAAUCACAUUACACAUACUUGUUCAUUUUAUUAUAAAUGUUAUAUUUAUUAAUAUACACAUAUAAUGUUUAUUAAUGAAGUUCAAGGAUUUAUCUAAUGGUAAGUAAAUUAUAUGAGAGAUCAUAUUGAUUACUUAUCCUAAAUAUUUAUAUACAUAGCAUAUUCGAGAAGGACCUUAGAUAUCUUAAUAAAAUUGCAUACAUACUUUUAUUAAUAUGAUGAGAAUAAUUGAUUUUGUUCUCAUUUGUGUGGAAAUAGUAAAGAGAGACAUUAAGUGCUCCUUGGAGAAAGAGUUUACUAAAUUGAUUCGUAUGUAUUUCUAGAUGAUACUAUAUAUAAUUGUCAACCAAGUUGAUUCAUGUCACAAUUGUAUAAGUGAUCACUAUAAUUGACACAAUCAAGACUUGAAUAUAAUAAGAUAUCCACAAAAGUAAUUGUGUGGUUAAGAUUGAAUCAUCUACCAUGGGUACUAUGAGACAUACUAUGAAAACAAUACACUCAAGUCCUUAGCCAUGACAAAAUAAAAUGAGAAAAAGAGUUUUAUGAUGAUUUUUAAUUACACUAGUUCCAACUAUGGUGACCAAUUAAGGUUUGAUAGUUUACCAUACCCUAAGUCAUUUUAUGACUAUCAUACAAAUGAUAGAUUAUAGAUAUAAGGUAACUACUAACACAUAGGUUUCAUGUGUGGGUAAUUUUUAACCUUAUUACCUUCUAGGUCACGUGGUGAGCUUGGUGCCUAACAUGUUGGUGACUUAACCUAUAGGUUGAAUUAAAUUGAUGUGGUUAAUUAUUUCAUAUGGGAUAUCAAAUUAACUAAUUAAAUAAGCUAAUAAAGAUUUAUUAGGCUUAGUAGGUUAUUAACUUGAUGUGUACUUGGACCUAGAGGGUCCACGUAUAAAGUUCUUAGACAACAAAAUAAAUAUAUAAAUGAGUCGGAUUUUUGUUAAAUAGACUACUCAUUAGAUAUAGACCUCGAAUGGCAUGGUUUGAGGGGCCUAUGUAACCCUCUUCCCUAGAGCCACCCCUCUCCUCUCUCUCCCUCAACCUCUUACAUCGAGGUAAUGGUUCAAAAAUUGUGGAUGAUUGAUCCUUCAGAUUGUUUGGAGAGGUCCAUCUAGAGAAUCAUGUAGAUACCACCAGAUGCUGGGCAUGUGCAUGGCUUGCAAUUUGAUUCUACAUAAGGUGAUGUGAUCGUUGAUUAUUUUAAUACUUCUAUUUUGUCUUCUUCUAGUCAAAUUUUUGACUGGAUGGUGCAUCAAAUACUAGAUCCCAAUAGUUAUCACUGAAACUAUCUCUAUCAUCAUUGUACUUUCACGCAAGAGAGCCAAGUCCAAAGGAGAAAGAAAUGUAGUGUACGAACAAUUCAAAGAUGCUUUAAAUCACCACAAGUCAAAUAGUCAUGGAAGCAACAUAAAACCUCUUAGCUGAAGUGUUAAAAUUAUUCUGGAUCAAUUAAAAAUAAUAUGGUAACAUCCAAUAAUAGGGUCAUAAUAGUUGUGAUAUCCACACUAAUCUAAGUGACAAAAAUAGGAAAAAAAUGAGGGAUAAAGGGAUUAAAUCUCCAUGUUCAUGAUAAUGAGACCCUCACAUCAGCCAUCAGAGAACAUGCUGUAGUUCGAUCUUCUAGUAGCAAAAUUAAUGUCUCAAAUUGAUCCUUGUCUUCUUCACAUAUUCCCUCUCUCUCUACUCCAUUGUCACUAUGCAUGCUACAUUCAACAAUAAAGAAGGUGAAGACAAAAGGGAGUAAAAAGAGAGUAAAAGGGAGUAAAAUAAUGCCCAACAGCCUCCUCCUUCGACCCAUAAGAGAGGCUCUCUCAUACUCCUGAUAGAGACUUGAGGGCAGCGUCGAGGCAGCCAAAGCGGGCCGGAGUCAGAACUAGGAAGUUGGAGGUGGUAGCGUCAAGGGUGCAGUGCAGGAGGACUCUGCCAUAGAUUUUUAGAUAGUUGUCGGAGAGCUCCUAUGAGAGGAAAAGGGGAAUGAGGACGUUGGUGGUCUGGGUCUCGACGGCGGCGCUGCCAGCGAGGAGUUUCUUGACACAGUGUAAGGAGACCUCAACGUGGCCCACUGGGGCCAGGUACUGGACGACCCUCUUUGCUGCACCCAAGGAGGAUGCGGUGCCACCACCACCACCCUCCGCCACGCGUUCAUCGAAGAGGGCCUGCACGCCAUCAAAUUCACCAGCGGAGUUGAGGCAGUCGAGGAGCAGGGAGUAGGACCCAUCAUCGGAGGCAUACUAGGGCUGCUGGUGAGCCCAUCGGAGGAGGCCCCAGCACCGCCUCUGUGUCACCGCAGGAAGAGGAAGAAGAAGGACAAGAUCAGAGGAGGUGGGAGAUGGCACGGGAGAGUUGCAGAGGCGAGGGGAUGAACUUGAGAUGACUGAGGUUGGACUCCAUGUCGGGUGAAGCACCUUUCUACGAUUUAGAGUAUCAAGAGUUGCCUCAGUUACGAUUCCAAAUCUAGUAAACAAAUAAUCAUUAAUCAUUAAUCAUUAAUUUCAGGUUGAUACCUUAGAAUAUUUUAGCACCCAUGAAGAGUUUUAAUCAUUUAUUACAUUGGAACUGAUUCACGGAGAUUUUUGUUCUUCAGAAAGAUUGUCCCAAUGAGGUGUUGAAAUUGGUUGGCCUUUGUAAGAUCAAGAGUCACUCAUGAAGAAAUAAUUAGAACUCUUAAGCGAUUUCCUGGAUAAUAAAACAUUCUAGAUUUAUGUUCAUAGGACUAGUCUGAAUGAUAUAAUUAUGAAGGGUUGAGAGCAUAUAAUGUACAAAUGACAAAUGUCACUUGUAUUGUCAUGGUGACUAUUGACUGAAGUUUAAUGCACUUAAUGCAUGUAAUCAAUAGAAAAUAUAUUAUAUGAUGCAGUAUCGAGGGUGAUCUACCCUCUGGUGAAGAGGGAUAAUGUGUCACUAUAGGGUGAAGAUCCUAUACGUAAUUAAUAGGAGACUCAACUAAAGGCAAGCAGAUGCUGAUGGCAGCGACGUCUACUGACACUCAUCGAGCAUUGCUAAGGGCAUGGGUACAGGGAGACCUUUCUUGUCCAUGUCCAUCGAGGAAGUCUGGUGCUGUCGACGUGAUCUCUGCUGUCUGAGCUCACCAGUCAAUGCAGCAAGUCUUGCGCGCAUGCGCGUCAAGGUUUGCACGAAGGUGAGGCCCGACCCGUCCCACCUAGCUAGGCCUGUCGGCGGUGGACCAAGAGUGGGAGGGCACUGCACGGAGUAAGGACUGACUGAGAAGGGGGGAAGAGGGCUAACAUGUGUGCCAAGACCCAGUCAGUCAUGGCGGGAUGGAAGGAUCCUCAUAGAGGUGCAGGGACAACAGCGGUAGGGUUGGCACAGGCCCUGGCGGUGGUGGUGAGCCUUGCGGCAGUGAGGUUGGUGGCUUCUUGCUGCUUGUGGCAUUGGCGAUAGUCAACUGAACCUGCGUGUCAUGGGAAUGCAGGCUUGCAAUCUGCUGGUGGUUCCACAUGGUGUCUAGUGCAUGCGCAGGCUCGCAAGUGGGCAUCAGAGAGGGGUGCAUUAGCAAUGUCUGACAAACCCUGACAGGGCUGAGGGUGGGGACACGGUUGGACGACCCAUGUUCAUUGGCAAGGUUCUUGGUUGGAACCUACGGUUGACUUCGAGGCUAGUGCGACAGCAUACAAGUAAGCUCGUGGGGCUCGCGCGCACGACAACUGCUGUCUGUCGGGCAUGGAGCAUGGUGUCGGAUGUGGGGUGAGAGUGCGGUGGGAACAUGCCAGGGCAGUCGCAGCGGACUCGUGGGCAAGUGAGAGCUCGGCGAGCAAUCAGUGACCUUGUGGUGGCGUCGAUGGUUGGACGAUGCCCUCCACUCCUCAAACUCCCUUCUCCCUCUUUCUCUCUAAGUGAGAUUCAUGAAUAUACUUUCUACUCAAAAAUGGCUCUGCCUCAAGUAGUGGCUCUCCACCCCCUUAUAUAGGGGCCCCACAUGGGCCAAGGGUGGAGAACCAUGGGAGAGGCCCAAAAUGCCAAAACCCCCCCCCUAGGUAAUGCACAGUCCUAGGUGGGCAUUCCUCUUUAUUGGGCCUGAAUGAGGGUUGCCCAAAAGGGGAGGGGUGAGGGGAACAGGGACACCAGCUCCUCCAAUUGGGCCCACACAUAUGGCCCAAAAGGAAGAGGGAAUAGAUGGACGAAGGCAAAAGGAAGUGGGCCAUUACAUCCUACCAUGGGCCCAACAUGGGCCCUAGGGGUUGGAAGCCCUUCAUGUGUAGCAGAACUUGGGGGUAGGGUCUCCUCCGUCGCCUUGGGCUCAUGUUGUGGUGGUGAGGGGUCCUGUCCACCACCAUUAUAUGAUUGACAACCAUUAUGAUUUGUUGGAUAAACUCAUAUAUAUUCUCUUGGUUAUUUUCUAAUAUAUGUAAAAUGUUUUUAGUUCUAAAUGUAUUAAUUAUAAAGUAUGUUUUAAGAAUAUAAAUACAAAUAUAAUAUAAAUGGGAAAAUUUAAAAUAACCAAUUCACUCCCCCUCUUGGCUCAUCAUUUAGCCUAGUCUUCUAGCAUCUGAUCUAAUUUAGGUCAUUAAUUUUUAAUUUUGUUGGACAUUUUUUAUAUUGGUUUCAAUUAUUUAUUGAUCUAUAUCUCAAUAAAUGUAGUCAUAAGUUUCUACAAGUUACUUCAUUAAAGAAAGUGACAAUUGUUGCUGCCCUUGGGCAUGGAUUUUGAUAUUACAAAUAUAUGAGAAAAUAUAUAAUUCAUGAUUGAUAUUAAAAAAUAAAUAUUAAAUAGGUAAAAUAAUUUUUUUUAUUUUAAAUUUAUUUAUCUAUGAUUAUUUAACCAUUUAAGUGUAACUAUUAUUUAUUAAUCAUGUGCAUCAUUAAAAGAAAAAGAAAAAGGUUCAAAAUAUCAAAUGAGCUUUUGUGAGUUUCGAAUUGAAAAUCUAGAUAAUGACACAACAACUACUUAUGUUGAGAAAAUGACCUAUUUAACAUUCGAUUUUGAAGACGAAGUCAAUAGAAAAGUUGUUUGUCUACCAUGAUGAAUAAGUUAAAAAUUGUUAAAUAAGUUCUCAAACUUUGGAACCACAGUUUGAAUUUAUAAUUGAAUAGACCAGAUAAUAGCAAGAUAUUGACUUUAUAAUGAUUAGAGGUCGUUGCCGCACAUUCUAGAAAAUGGUAAGUAUUUGAAUUAACUUUUCGAUUUUAUCUCUCGAGAAAAAUGUGAAAUCUACUAGAAGAUGACACCCUAAAAGUAAAGAAAGCUGGGGAGAUCAAUAACAAUGAUUCCACUUUGAUUUACAAUAAGUUAUCUCUCUCAUGAUCAAGAAUCAUCACUGUUGAGCUUUAAUCGUAAGUAGAUUGCAUCAUCCUUCUUUAUCAACUAUUGGUAAUCAAGAUAAAGCUUAAAUAUUUCAAAGAGCUCUUCAUCAGACCUUAAAAUAAUUGGGUAGUGAGUGAAUAGUAAUUUUGGGCAAAGGCCCAAUAUGCUCUAAGCCUUGUCUAACCUAGAAGGGGCUAAAUCACUACAAAGGUGGAACCUAAGGUAUUAGGGUUACUAAUCCCAUUAAGUUUAAUGUGUAUUUCUGAAGGAAAUAGUAGAGUACUGAUAGGAAAGAUCCUCUAGGAUUAGAAGUGGCAAGGUGAGGGAUGAACAAAUAUAAAAAGCUCUUGCCUCAUAAUGAGAUCACAUCGUAAGUGAGUGAAAACCAUUAUGCGUGUAGAUAAUCACACAAAGCUAUGUUAACACAUAUGUUGACACAUCUAGUAUCUAGGAAGAAAAUAUAAGAUUUUCAAAAUAUUAAUUCACCCCCCUCUUGGCAUUUUGCCUAGCCUUUAGGUCUUUCAAUUAGUAUUAGAGCUAACCUUGAUUCACAGAUAUUUAUAUAUUUCAAAGAAUAGAUCCUAUGGCUAGUGAAACCAUAGAAUUUUUGGUGGUGAAUAGACCCCUUGCUGCCACAGCACGAGCUCAAGGUGUUAGAGGAGACCCCGCCCCCACGCUGUCAACUAGAUCGUAGAGCCCAAGCGAGAACAAAGAACCUCAAGUUUCGCUAUACUAUAUGAAGGGCUUUCCACCCCUAGGGCCCAUGUUGGGUUUAUGGCAGGAUGGGAUGGCCCACUUCCUUUUGCCUUUAUCUGUCUUAUUCCCUCCUCCUUUUGGGCCAUAUGUGUGGGACCAAUUGAAGGAGUUGGUGUCCUUCUUUCCUUCACCCCUUCUCUAUUAGGCCACCCUCGUUCAGACCCAACAAAGAAGACCCACCCAAGACUCUUAAGUGUAUUGCCUGCCUUGAGGGGGGGGGGUCGACAUUUUGGGCCUCUCAUGUGGUUCUCCGCCCUUGGCCCAUGUGGGCCCCUAUAUAAGGGGGUGGAGAGCCACCGCCUAGGGGAGCCAUUUUUUUGAGUAGAAAGUGUGUUUGUUGAAUCUCACUUAAAGAGUAAGGGAGAGGGGGAGCCUAAGGGGUGGAGGGCACCAUCUGACUGUCAACACUGCCACCAGGUCACUGAUUGUGGACCACGCACCUACAUGCACAUUGAAUGCCUCACAUGGAAUAACCAUCAGGUUGCAAGCCUAUAUCUCUAUGACAAGCUGGUUCACGUGUCUACUGAUGAUGCCAUGAGCAACAUGAAGCCACCUGCCUCAUUGUAAUGACACUAGCUAUCACCAUUGGGGCUCGUGCUAGUCCUGCCACUGUCAACCUUGUGUCUAUACAAGGUCCCUCCCACUUAGCCACAAUUGACCGGGUCUUCAUCCGCAUGUUAGCCCUCAUUCCCCCACUCAAUUUGGUCCUUACUCUGCACAAUGCCACCCCACUCUUGCUCCACCGCUGCCGGGCCUAGUUAGGUGGGACGAGUUGGGCCACACUAUGAUGUGAAUCUUGAUGUGUGCACCCACAAGACUUAACAUGUUGGUUGUCGAGCUUCAGUGGUAGAGCCACGUCGAUAGCACUAGGCCUCUGCCACCAGACGUGGAUGUGGAAGGUCUCCCUAUGCUCGCGCCCUUGGUGAUGCCCUAAUGAAUGUCCACGUCACUGCUUGUCAACACUUACUUGCAUCUAGUCAAGUCGGCCCCAUUAGUCACAUGUAGGACCCCACCCCAUAAUGAUGUACUCCCCUUAUUCACCAUAGGGUGGAUCAACCCCUAGUGCUAUAUCAAAUUUUCAAACCCUAGACCACUUAUAUUUGAUAGAACUAACUAUAUUUUUGAAAACCUUAAAUUAGAAUUUAUGUUAUCAGUCAAGGAUCAAAAAUUUGAAAAAUGAUCAAGGAAGGACCAGAGAAACCUAAUGAUGAGUCUAUAGAGGAGUAGAACUCCAUGUUAAAUGUAAUGACUAUGAAUAUUUUAUUGAGUGGUAUUUAUAUUACUGAGUUUAAUCAUAUGCAAAUUUGUGAGAUAGUCAAAGAAAUAUGAAACAAGCUCAAAAUGAUGUAUGAGGGGACUUCACAAGUAAAAGAAACCAAAGUUGAUAUUUUGGUGAGCAAGUAUGAAUUAUUUUAAAUGAAAAAAGGUAAAUCUAUUCAUAACUAUGUUAAAAGAUUUGAUGAAAUCGUUAAUGGGAUGAAAAAUCUUGGAAAAACUUUUCCUAACACUGAAUUGAGUAGAAAACUAUUGAGAUCUUUGAUUGAUGAUUAACUGGCCAAGAAAACAGUAAUAGUAGAAUCUAAAUAUUUAAAUGUUACUUCUCUUGAUUAUAUUAUUGGCUCUCUUUUGACGCAUGAAGCUAAUGUACCUAGAAGUAAAUCUCUUACUAAAAAAUGUGAAAAUAAUUGACGUGACUUAAUUGUUGUAUAAUAAAUCAUGUAAAUUUAAAAUUUAUAAAACUAGAAAAGACCAAUUUUUGAAAUUUCAAAUUAUAUCAAAAUGAAUAAAUUAUUUUUAAAUAGAUAAAAUAUUCUAAAAAUAAUGGGAAAUUUUUAGGUCAAAUCACAAGGAUGUAAUAUAAUAUAAGAUAACAUUUCAUAAUUUUUCUAAAAGAAUACAAAUUUUUUUGAUUUUUUAACUAAAUGAUAAGUAUAAUGUAUAUUUAAGAAAUGUGAAAAGGAAUUAAGGCUAUGAUGUCAUGGUGACAUCAGUGCCCGAAGAACGACUUAGGUGGAAACAAAAUUUCGACUUACGAUUCUUUCGUAAGUGAUUACCAUCAAAUUAAUGGGUUAAAUUAAGUUCUAUAAAAGCUUGAAGAAUCAUAACUUAAUAAAGAAGUAUAUUAAAACUUGAAAUUAUGCCAAAUACUACUAAUUUAAAUGAAAAUAAAGUUUCAAGUAAGAAAAAUAGAGUUCCGGCUUAGCGGCAACGAUCGCCAAAAUUCUAUAUGUUCGAGAAGGAAUUCAUGCAACGUCCAUAGCCUCAAAGGCUCUCAUUGGACAAAGACGAUGUGGGCAAUCUCUAGAUCUUCUUUCGAAGCCUAGAAAUUAGUGGAAUGUGUCACCAAAUCAUUUCUGAUAGUUGUCACUUGACGGAAUGGAAAAAUGGUGACUUGCGGCCCUUUGACGGCUGUCACCCAAUGUAGGUAGGGCUGGAUGGAGGUGGGGCACGUCUCAAGGGGCUUCAUCCUCAAGUUAGUAUAACAAGAGGAGGCCCUUUAUUACAUCUAGUAUGUUUUCUAGAGGUGGUGACUCAUCUCCUAGUGGAUUGUCCUCUUCUUAGUGACAGUUUGUUCAUCGAUUAAUUGGAGAUAAUUUUCUCAUUGAGUACGCGAUGUUUUGUAUAAAAUCGUUCACCAAUUUCGGCCACAAUGCUCUACAAAUCGUAUUGACUAAAUUUUUGCCGAUAUUUUAGCGAUUUUGCAGCUUAAUCCCUUGCUAGAAAUCAUGAUUUCUUUGCCGGUUGCUCGCCUGUGAGAGAGAGAAAAAGAGAAAGAGAUGAAAUAAGUAUGAUAAUACCCUCAUAAUGUGAUGUCAUAAGGAUACUUUUAUCAUGAUAAUGAAGGGGUAUUUUGGGUGUUUAUUAUCUUGUGGGGAAAGGUUAGAGUAGUGGGUUUAGUCCCACAUCAGUUUUCUGACUGAUUUUCAUGUGAAUAUAAAUUGGCAGCUUCUUUAGCCAUCAAUAGGUACAUCUCAUCCAUGUGUGUACAAUCACUUCUUGUCCCAUGCUCGCUUGGCCAUUGGUGAUGUAGAAAGGGAGUGAUGCACAUGUCAGCCACUUAAGCGUCGAGCUCGCAGUCCUUGGGCACCUAGUGGCUCCUCCCGAUUGGGCCUCCCACCCGCUUGCAGGCUCGGCUAGCCAGCAACGUUAUUAUUUUUUCAAUUAACCUUUUUAUUUUACUCUUUUUCUAUUUAUCUCAAGAAAAUAAGAUUAUAAAAUUAUGUAAUUAAUAAAAAAUUCAUAUUAACUAAUUAGAAAUCACUUUUCACAAUUUAGUACAAAAAUAAGUCUAUUUAUCAUGAGUUAAGCUAAAACCAUCAUAUCACUAAAUUAUUAACUCAUGAUAAUUAAGACUUAUCACACCCCUCAACUUCAAUCAUUACAAGUCUUUUAACAAUAGAUUAUAAAUAUAAUUAUUAUUUAUAAAUUUCAAAUAUCAUAUUUCAAUGCAUAAAAUACAAUUAGAAAUGAUGCACCUCUAAAUACUUUGGACUAUUUUAUCAAAUAUUGAAGAAGGAUAUCAAGCAUUUAAAUGUAUAAGCACUCCUUGGAAUAACAAUAUAGAUUUCACUUCUUCAAUCUACAUCUUUAUCACUUCUUUACUCAUGUAUAUAAUUCACAAGAUGUUUUCAAUUAUCAAAAAUCAUUCAAGCAUAAUAUUGAUCUUACCUUUCCCUUCCUUAUAACUAAAUUUUUGAAGUUUGUACUAUAUUUCUUCUUUCUCUUAUUUUUUUGUGGUGAAUAAGUAGCUUUUCUUGUAAAAAAAUUUCAACAAUGAGAAUGAUGUCUCACACCCUCUAUGUGUACUCUUCAAUUUCAGGGCUUUCACACUAUCUAUUUAUUUUGUAGUAAGUGUUUCUCAUUUUCAAAUUUUUUCACAUUGCUGAUUUUUUCUAAUUUUCGAAAUAAGUGAUUUCUCCUCACAAGGCUUAUAGAUCAAGGUGUAAAAAUCUCCAUUAAACUCAAAUGAGAAAUCAAAUUAUAGUUUAAUGUUUUAAAUUUGUAUGUAGUAGAUGAGUGGGUCUCAAGUUUAUUCAAAGAAAAAGCAAAAGUAUUACAAUUAAUUCCAUAAUUAUAUAUGCUUCAUUUGAAAGGAUUGUGAUGAGUUAGCACAUUUGGUUUCUAAAACGUAGUUCCUAUUAUCUCCCUAAUUUCAUAGCAAUUGUGAUCAUAUUGGACAUAUAGUUGGGAGGAGGCUGCAUUUCAAUUUUCUCAAAAGUUAGCCAUCAAGAUAAUUAAAAUUAGCAAUACUAUUGACAAAAAAAUAGUCGUACUAUUCAAUACUAGGGUUUUGAUACUAUGUGGUGGAGCAUGUACCUAAGCUCCACCGAUGAAGGCAACGACAUCAGAGGAUGCCAUGUCACCUAAAGCUAUCUCACGUCAUCGCUGUCGGACCCAAUUGAGGAUCCAAAUUUCUUUUAUUAUUAGGUCUUAUUUUUGAUGACUUUGUUUGAUUUUUGUUGUAAUCCUUUUUUUCCCUCCUAUGGCCUAUAAAUAGGCUGAAGAUUUCCUUGAACUGGUGGCUGAUUUUGGGAUUAAGAAAUGUAUCUUUCCUAAGAAUGUGCCCUAGGGGAUUUAUGCGACUGCCGCUACCUGUAGCCGCUGCCGUCAGAUGGGUCCAACCCUACUCCAAGGUCAACCUUCCCUCUCUAUCAUCAUACGAAUGCUCCGCUAGCUCUCGCAUGCUCAUCAUCGUGCUGACAUCCUCUAGGACAAUGUCAAGCAUCUACCAUCAAAGAAUGGUUCUGUUGGAUCGCUAUCCGCAUGCGACGAGCUCCUCUCUAUGGCAUUCGUGUGAUUCCUCGCCUCACAGCCAUGGACGUCCUCUGCUUAAUUACAUGAUUUUAUAAUUUUAUUUUAUUGAGAGAAAUGAAAAAACAAAUAUUUAAGGAAAAAUAAAAAAUCCACCAGCCACUUGGGCCCGCUAACGGGUCAGAGGCCUUGUCAAGCGAAGCUACUGAGGGCUAAGGACUACGAGCUCAAGGCUCGAGCGGCUAAGGACCAGACCGCAAGCUUGAGGCUCAAGCGGCUGGCAAAGUGGACCGCGAGCUAGGCGCUCAAGUGGCUGACGUGUGCGUCACUCCCCUUCCACGUCACUAGUGGCCAGCCGGGCAUGGGGCAAGGAGUGUCUGUACACACGCGGGUGAUUUGUACCUAUUAAUGGCUAAAGAAGCACCAUUAAUAUAUGCGCGUGAAACUCACCCAAAAAAUCAAUGUGGGACUAAACCAUGUGCCUUACUUUUUCUCGCAUAUUUUCUAAAUGCCAACAAUACCCCUCAAUGAUAGAUAUAAAAUGAUUCUUAUGACAUCAUACAUUGAGGGCUUUUUAAUACUUAUCUCAUCUCUCCCUCUUUCUCUCUCGCAGGCGGACAAUCGGCGAAGAAAUUAUGAUUUCCGGAGAGCAAUUAAGCUGCAAAAAUCACCAAAAAUUCAACAAAAACUUAGUCAACGCGAUUCAUGGAGCACUGUGGCCAAAAUUAGCGUAGGAUUCUAGACAAAACAUUGCAAACUCAACGAAGAAAUCAUCUCCGCUUGAUCGACAAACAAGCUGUCGUCGAGAAGAUGACGAUCCACUGGGAGACAAGUCGCCACCUCCUGAGAGCAUAUUAGAUGCGAUAAAGCACCUCCUCUCGCUACGCUGACUUGAGGAUGAAGCCCUUGAGACGCGCCUCACCUCCAUCCAGCACACCUUCGUCGAGUGACAGUCGCUGGAGGGCUGCAAGUCGUCAUUUUUCCGUUCCACCAGGUAACAGCUGCCGGAAACGAUUUGGCGACCCAUUCAUGUCCUCCACGACAGCGUCAAGUGUCUGCCGUCAAGGAAUGGUCUUGCCGGAUCACUGUCUGCACGCGACGAGCUCCUCUUCAUGGCAUUCGUGUGAUUCCUCGCCCCGCAGCCAUGGACGUCCUCCACAACAAUGUCAAGUGUCCGCUAUCAUGGAAUUGUUCCCGCUGGAUCGCCGUCCACACGCAGCAGACUCCUCUCCGUGGGCGUCCGCGUGAUACUUGUCAUCCUGUCAUGACUGGAGCGUUCCACACGUAGUGGACAUGCUUGGCCCUUUGUCAUCCAUGACAGCCUCCGACCCUCGAUGGCUACUGUGCGUGCACUACGCACCCUUGCUCCUAUCAUCUGCUGGAUUUCAUUCCAAACUAUCCUCGAUGCUCCUAUCACUUGAUCCGCGUCAAGCUCGCUCUUCUCCAAAUUAUCCUCAAUGUCAAUUCCUCGGCGUUCAAAUGCCCAAGGUCCACUCUUAACCCUUUCAAUGAAUGUGUGAAUUGAUUUCAUUCCAUCUUUCUUCGUUUGUGUUUCCACCGCCAUUGGGUUUAGCUGUGUGGGCUCGUGACUAGUCGUGUGGGCUCAUGAUCAGUCAUGUGGGCUGUAUUUUUCUUGUUUGGAGGUCAACUGAGAUUUUGAAAUGUAGAGCUUUGAUUUAUCACGACGAUUUGAGACGAUCCUCUAACCCUCGACUAAGAAACGGAAUAGUCUUCUCACUAUCAUGUAGCCAGCUUUAAAGAUUUAAAUCUGAAUGUGUAUGAGUUUUGUGGCUUGCUAGUUAUUCAUCACAUUUACAACAUAUCACAUUUGUGUCAAUCAUAUUCAUCCUACAUCAUCAUGUGUUGAGAGACACUAGAGAGAGAGGGAGAGAGAAAGAAAGAGAGAGAGUGGGUUAUUCAUGUCCUUGGAAAUGAGUUUUGAUAUUGUAAUUAAUGAAAAAAUUUAUUAUUAAGAUUUGAUUUUAUCUGAAAGAUUAUUGUAAGGAUUUGAUACAUUUUAUAUAUUAAAUCCAUUAUUUAUUUUGUGAUAUUAUGUCUAACCCAUUAACCCAAGAGAUUAAACCUUGAGAUUAAUUGAUUUGAUGAAUUUAGUGAAACAUUAGAUUUGUGAGAUUAAAUAGUUGUUGGAAAAGAAAUAUUUAAAUAGGUAAAUGAUGGUUAUUAUUUUGAUAUAUUUAUCUGUAAUUAUUUAAUUUUCUAUUUAAUUAUUAGUCACAUGCAUUAUGAAAAGAGAAUGAAAAGGGUUAGAAAUAUUAAAUGGCCUUUCUUAAGUAUUGCACUAGAAAUCUAGAUGGUGACAUGUUGGCUACUUACGUGGAGAAAACGACUAGCUCAACAUUUGAAUUUGAAGACAAUGUCAAUAGUAAAGCUUCUACUUUGACAUAAAGUUCUUAUUUAGACAAUUCAAAACUAGGCCAAUUUUUCAUCCAUGAGAUAUAAAUCUCUAGUUUAAAUUUAAAAUCUAAUAGACAAAGGAAUAAUACAUUAGUGAAUUUGCAAUAGUUAAAGGUCAUUAUUGCAUAUUCUAGAAAAUAGUAAAUAUUUGAACUAACCUUUCAAGUUUAUCUCUUGAACAAAAUAUAGAAAAUCGUUAGAGAAUGAACCCUUAUAAGAAAAGGAAGUUGAGGAAACCAAAAGUGAAUAUUCUAUUUCAAUCUAUCAAGAAGAAUUAUCCUCAUGGUCAAACAACUUCACUACAGAAUUUCAAACAUUCAUACCCUACUCAAAGUACUAGAAAACAAGCUCUCUAUCAAGCCCUAAAGCAAUUGGGUUGAGAGGAGAUAAGUCUUAGGGUAAAGGCACAAGGUGCUCUCAACCUAGGUUGGCCUAGAAGGGACUUGAUCUUUAUACAAAUCAAACUUGAAUUAUUGGGCCACCAAUCCUAUAAAGUUUAAUAUGUAUUUUCAAGGCAAAUAAUGAAAUCUAGUAGAAAAUAUCAUUCGGGACUAGAAAUAGCUAAGUGAGUGGCAAACUAGUAUAAAAAAUUAAGUCUCAUUUGUGAGGGAGAGAAAAUCAUAAGAAAACCUAUUGAAGGAAAAAAAAAGAAAGCUCACAUGUAGAUAACCACAAAAAACAAUGUUAACUGGUGUGUCGACACCUUUAUGAUUUAGAAAGAAAAUUCAAGAUUGUAGAAACACUAAUUUACCAAGUCUCUUAGAUCUUUCAUAAGCCUCUCCCAUAUAUAUAAGUAGAGGCUCAUUAGGCCCAUACAAUACUAAUAAGUCUUCAUUAUCACGAGUUAAUAAUUUAGUGAUAUGAUAGUUUAACCUUAACUUAUGAUAAAUAGACUUAUAUUUAUGCUUAAUCUUGAAAAAUAGUUUCUUGUUGGUUAACAUGAAUUUUUGAUUAAUUACAUGAUUUUAUAAUCUUAUUUGUUUGAUAUAAAUAGAAAAAGAGUAAAAUUAAAAGAUUUGUUUUUAAAAAAAAACUACUAUCCAACUGGGCCUGCAGGUGGAUCAGAGCUCGAGUCGAGCAGAGUUGCAAGGCAGUUGAGAUCUGUGAGCUUGAAACUCAAGUGACUAAGGGCAGUCUGUGAGCACGAGGCUCAAGCAGUUGACGUGUGUGUCACUCCCUUUCCACAUCUCUGAUGGCAAGUUGGGCAUGGGGCAAGGAGUGAUCAUACACACGCAAGAGAGAAACAUACUAAUUACAAGACACAUAUUUUAUUAGUCUCAAAAGUUCCUAAAAUACCCCUUGAUUAUCACAAAGAAACUAUCCAUAUGAAGUCACAUUAUAAGGCAUUAUCGUACUUAUUUCAAUUCUCUCUCUUAUAGGCAAGCAACCAGCAAAGAAAUCAUGAUUUUUGGUGAGUGAUUAAGCUGCCAAAAUCACAAAAAUCUUAGUAAAAAUUUAGUCAACGUGACUUACAAAGUAUCAUGGCCAAAAGUGGUGAACAAUUCUGAACCAAACAUUGCAAACUCAACAAAGAAAUCAUCUCCGAUUGAUAAAUGAACAAGUUGCCACUAGGAAGAGGAUGAUCUGUCAAGAGACAAGUUACCACCUCUUGAGAGUAUAUCAGAUGCGAUAAAGGGCCUCUUUUUGCUGUGUUGACUUUAGGACGAAGCCCUUGAGAUGUGCCCCACCUCCAUCCAGCCUAUCUAUGUCAAGUGACAAUCGUUGGAGAGGUGCAAGUCAUUGUUUUUCUACUUUGUUAGGUGAUAGCCAUCGGAGACAAUUCAGCGACACAUUACAUUGAUUUCUAAAAUUCGCAAGAAGAUUUAGAAAUUGCCCACUUCGUUUUUACCCAAAGAGAGCCUUUGAGGCUGUGGACAUUACACGAAUUCUCUCCCAAACACAUAAAAUUUUGAUGAUUGUUGUUGCAAAGCUAGAACUCUAUUUUUCUUACUUUAAACUUCAUUUUCAUUUAAAUUAGUAACAUUUGACACAAUUUCAAAUUUUGAUAUCCUUUGUCAUUUAGUUACAAUUUUUUAAACUUUUACAAAACUUAAUUUCAUCCAUUAAUUUGAUAGUAAUCACUUACGAAAAAAUCAUAAUUUAAAACUCUAUUUCUACCUAAUUCAUGUUCGUUAGGCUUUAACCUCACUCUGACGUCAUAGCCUUUCUUAUUGUGUGAAUUCUUAAAUUAUUAUAUUCAUCUUUCGAUUUAAAAAAUUAGAAAAAGUCAUAUUAUUUUAGAAAAGAUAAUCACAUAGAGUUGUGUUAACAUAUGUGUUGACACAUCUAACGUCCGGGAAGAAAAUCUGAGAUUUUUAAAAUAUCAAUUCACCCUCCCCUCUUAGUAUUUUGUCUAGCCUCUAAAUCUUUCACAUAGCCAAUAUCUAGAUUUUUCCAUAAGUGUAUGAGGAAAAAAUUUCAUCUAAAUAAUUUUCAGUGUACCUUGAGGGAGAUUAACUAAAUCACUUACUAUAUGAAAUUUUUCUAAAUUCUGAUGAGGCUCCACUAAAGAUAAUCCAUGAAAUUAGGGAGCAUUAAGAAAAUUCAUGAAUUUACCUUGAAUUUAAGUAUGGGUGCUCAUGAGACUCUAACAUUAGAUGCUCGUUGAAAUGAGUUAGGGAUAUAAUGAUUUUUCAUGGCCAUAAGAUCAUUCUCAAUUUGACCUAUAAUAACUUUAGAAUCCAUUGAAAUUAAUUUUUCUUUCAAAUUUUUAGGUUUAGAUUAAAGUAAGAGGAUUCUCAAUGUAAAGAUCUUCUACCAUGCAUAAAAAAAAUAAAUUUGAGGCAAAAAUUAAAUAACUAUUACCCUCCUUCAAUUUGCUCUUAUCAUUACCCUGUUGCUCUUUUUCUUUUUUUUUUGCAAGAGGAAAAUAGAAAUAAGAGUUAAAAAAAAUUUGUACUAUAAGAGAAAUUCCCAAGUUGGUCAUAGGGAUGUAAUAUAAUAUCAGGUAAUAUUUUAGAACUUUCCUAAAAAAUAUAAUUUUUAUAAUUUUUGGACUAAAUGAUCAAUAUAAUAUAUUUAAGAAUUCAUGAAAAAGGAAAUAAGGUGCUAACAUUAAGAUGACAUCAAUGCUUGAUAAACACGAAUUAGGUAGAAAUAGAGUUCCACCAGAUGAUUCUUACAUAAACGAUUACCAUCAAUUUAAUAUGUCAAAUUAAGUUCUGUAAAAGCUAAAAGAAUUGUAACUCAUUAACAAAGGGUAUAGAAAUUUGAAAUCAUGUCAAAUAUCAUAAAUUUAAAGUAAAUGAAGUUCAAAAUAAGAAAAACAUAGUCCUAACUUUACCACAGUGAUCGUUGGAAUUCUACAUCUUUGGGAGAAAUUUCAUACAAUGUCCAUGGCCUUGAAGGCUCUCUAUGGACAUAGACAAUGUGGGUAAUGUCUAGAUCUUCUUGCAAAGUCUAGUAAUCAAUAGAAUGUAUUGCCAAAUCAUCUUUGGCGGCUAUCACCCGACAGAACUGAAAAACGGUGAUUUGCGACCCUUUGGCGGCUAUCGCCCCGUAGAGAUAAGCUAAAUGGAGGUGUGGCGCAUCUCCAAGGCUUCAUCCUCAAGUCAGAGCAACAAGAAGAGGCCUUUUGUUGCAUCUAAUAUGCUCACAAGAGGUGACGACUCGUCUCAUAGAGGAUCAUCCUCUUCCUAGUGACGACUUGUUCGUCAAUCAAUUGAAGAUGAUUUCCUCAAUGAAUUUGUGAUCUUUUGUCCUGAAUUGUUCACCAAGUUUAGUAACAAUGUUUUGAGAAUCACGUUGACUAUAUUUUUCCUAAAAUUUCAGCAUUUUUGGCACCUUAAUCACUUGUCAAAAAUUAUAGUUUCCUUGCUAGUUUACCUACGAGAAAGAGAAAAAUGAGAUAAGUAUGUUAAUGCCCUUAUUAGUUGGCAUCAUACAGAUUUUUUCUUUAUGAUAAUCAAGGGGUAUUUAUGGCAUUUAAGAUAUUUUGGAGGAGGUUGUGAGUGCUGAUUUAGUCUCAUAUCAGAUUUCUGCCAAAUAUUAAGACAAAUAAAAUACCUUGUGAGGCCUUAUAUUCAGUAGGUACCUCUCUUAUGUGUGUACAACCACUUUUUGCCCCACACCCGGUUGGCUACCAGUGAUGUGAAAGAGGAGUGUUGCACACGUCCUCACCUGCUUGAGCCUUUGCUCACGAUUGUAUCCUCAACUACUUGAGCCUCUACUCAUGGCCCUCAACCACUCAAGCCUCAACUCGUAGCCCUCAACCACUUGAGCCUUAGCUUGCGGCUCAGCCCGACUAUGCCUCUGGCCCACUUGGGGGCCUGGUUGGCUGGUGUUUUUAACUUUUUCUAUUUUUUAUUUUAUUUUUUUAUUUAUCUCAAAACCAUAAGAUUAUAAAAUUAUAUAAAUUCACAUAAUAUCAUUUAAAUAAUCAAAAGUUGAUAUUAACCAACCAAAAACCACUUUUCACAAUUUAACACAAAUAUAAGUCUAUUUAUUAUGAGUUAAGGCUAAAACUAUAAUAUAACUUAAUUAUUAACUCAUGAUAAUGAAAACUUAUUAGAUCUAUAUAUCUCCAAAUAUUUCCAUUAGCUAUCCAUAAUUAGUAGGAUUUGGCGACACUCCUUGACUAUCUUUAGGUAACUGUUGGUAGAUGUGACAUGAACACAUUUGUUGUCAUAGGUUGACGGUUAUACCAAUUCAUAUUUCCUUUCUUCAGUCUUCUUUAUGACUGGUUUGAGCGUGCUAUUUUGAGCCAAUUGUUGGCCUUGUUCACCAUCAACAUGGUGUUCAAUAUCAAGCACAAAAAAGGUUGCUCACAAUAAUUGUUACAACUCUGACUCUCCUCCCUCUCUACUUUCAAUAACUAGAGAGUUCUGCAGAACCCUCCCAAGGCCAUUGCAAGUGGCCAAUCUCCUCUCUUCCUCUUUGGAGCUUCAUACAUAGAUUUCUCCUUCCCACUUCUUAUCCUAUUUCCUUCCAACAUCCAUGGUGCCUCCAACAUCUCUGCUUUGCCUUCUGCCCCAAUCAUUCCUAGUUGGGUCUGUGCUGCUCUUUAGUCAUCAAUGCAGUAGUUAGGGGACUAACUACUGCAUUGAUGAGAGGAGAUUGGCCACUUAGUCAACAAACUUAGUCAACGCGAUUCAUGGAGCAUUGUGGCCAAAAUUCCUAGUUGGGUCUAUGCUGCUUUGCCUUCUAUGCUGCUCUUUAGUCCAUUUGUGAAUCGUUGAGACUAGUAGUCAUUCAGCCAGACCUCUUUCCAUGUGGAUGGAGAUUGUUGGUGAGGGUCUCAACAGUUCUCCCCUCAUCUUUUUAAAUCUGUGAAAAAUUUCAUUUUCGGUUGUGUGGACUGAAAUAAUAAAACACCAAUAUUGCUCCCAAGAAUCUCCAAUUAUUAAUUUACCCACUGAUAUGCAAUGCUUCUUCUAGUCCUAAAUGUUUAAUGAAUCAACUCAUGUUCAGGAAACUGGCUCUCCCACUUUCUCACUCUUCAAACCCAACUGUCCUUCUAUACUUCAACGAGCUUAUAGCUCAUGGAAAUGGGAUCUCACAUAGCCUUUACACUUUGCAGAUAUAUGAUGCCAGGGCCAGGCUGUGGAUGACCAAAGGAGAGGCACAGGCUGAGGUGGAGUGCAUCGAGGGCAUGAAGCCGCUGGAGGGGGAGCUCAGAGAGAAGCCAUAUUUUAGUGGUGAAGCUUUUGUGUUCCUAGACAUCACCCUGGCCUAGGCUUCCUGGUUCCACACCUAAGAAGUCUCUGGAAGCCUCGAUAUGGAGAUUUAGCAGGCCAAGCUUAUGGCCUAGGCGAAGAGGUGCAAGGAAAGGGAGAGAAUCUCCAAGGCCUUCCCAGACCUUCUCAAGGUCUAGGACUUCAUGCUCUUCCUCAAAAACAUAUUUGGGAUUGAGUAGGAGCGGAGAACAAGGAGAACCACUGGGAGGUAGAGCUUCUGCUCCCUCUCUCUUGCUAUCUAUCUAUCUAUCUAAUGGUGCUAUGGAAUUUCCACCAUCGAAAUAACCUGUGAGAAGGAUACCCCUGCAAUCUUUGUUGCCUCCACCCUUCUCCUGGUGCCUUUUGUAAGUUUCAUCUGCAUGACAUAUGGACUGUAUACUCCUUUCUUGCAGCUGUAGAUUCUGCUUGAUCUUUUGCAAUUCAAUAAUAUUCCUAAAGGACGUUCAUAGUGACAAUGCCUUCAAGAUUUGUUAGGGGUGAAUGAACCUUGAAGAGCUCUUGCAAGGGAAAAUUGUGUUUUUGUAGGGAAAAUAGCAUCAAACUCAUAUAAGGAAUUUAGAUAAAUUUUCCCAUCAAAUUCAAAUAUCUAGUGGAUUUCAAUUUUAUGUGGCCAGUAAGUUUCCAUCUUUAAGAUGCAUUGAAAUGUGUGCACCCAAUUUGUGAAGAUUGAAAUUUAAGACAUGGGUAAAAAAGAAAUAAUUUUUGUAAAAAAAUUCAUCUUCACAUUGCUUAGUUUUGACAAAUUUGUGUGGAUGAAUGACAUUUAAACACCUAGUUGUGUUUUGAACCUUUAGAUUGAGGUGAUCAUGACGUAACCAACAUAACAUCUAUAUAUCAAGUGGAGCACAAGAUUAAAGACUUUUUAUUUUUAUAACUUUCCUUAUUUAUAUCUUUCUAUUUUUAGACCACCUUCUAUAGUUAACAUUUUCUAUUUUAGAUCACCUUCUAUAGUUAACCCUUUCUAUUUUAGGUCACUGACUUGACUUUAUCAUUGCAUAAUAAAUCACACAAAUUUAAAAUUUAGAAAACUAGAAAGUACUAAUUUUUUAUUUUUAAAAUUAUUUCAAAGUAAAUAAAAUCAAUUAUAACUCAAUAAGAGGUUCCAAAAAUAGUGGAAAAUCUCCAAGUCAUAGGGAUGCAAUAAAUAUUAGGUAAUAGUUCAAAAUUUUUCUAAAAGAAAAUGAUUUUUUAUGAUUUUUAGACAGAAUGAUGAAUAUAAUAUAUUUAAGAAUCUGCAAAAAAAAAAAUAAGGUGCUUACUUUAGACAGACAUUAGUACCUAACGAACAUGAAUCAAGUAGAAAUAGAGUUUAGUUUGAUGAUUCUUACGUAAGUGAUUAUAGUUGAUUUAAUGGGUCAAAUUAAGUUUUGUGAAAGCUAGAAGAAUUGUAACUUAGUGACGAAGGAUAUAAAAAUUUUAAAUUAUGAAAAAUAUCAUGAAUUUAAAUGAAAAUGAAGUUCAAAGUAAGAAAAUUAGAGUUCUAGCUUUGCGACAAUAAUUGCUAGAAUUCUACAUGUUUGGGAGGAAUUUUGUGCGAUGUCUAUGUCCUCAAAGUUUUUCCUUGGACAAAUAUGAUAUGGAAAAUUUAUAGAUCUUCUUACGAGGUCGAGAAAUCAAUGAAAUGGAUUGUUGAAUUGUCUUCGGUGGCUAGCACCCAAUGGAGCUAAAAAAUGGUGACUUGCAACUCUCAAGAAACUCUCACCCAAUAGAGAUAAGCUGAAUAGAGGUGGGGCACAUCUUAGGGGCUUCAUCCUCAAGUCAACGCAGCAAGAGGAAGCCUUUUAUUGCAUCUAGUACACUCUCAAGAGGAGGUGACUCGUCUCCUAGCAAAUCGUCCUCUUCUUAGUGAUGCCUCACUCAUCGUUUAAUUGGAGAUGAUUUCCUUGAUGAAUUCAUGAUCUUUUGUCUUGAAUCAUUGGCCCAAUUUAGCAACAAUAUUUCAUGAAUUACAUUGACCAUAUUUUCCCCGAGAUUUUAACGACUUUAGCAGCUUAAUCGUUUGCUAGAAAUUGUGAUUUCCUUGCCAAUCGCCCCCUAUGAGAGAGAGAGAGAGAAAAAAUGAGAGAAGUAUGAUAAUGCCCUUAUCAGAUGAUGUCAUAAGGAUAGUUUCUUUCUAAUAAUUAAGGGGUAUUUUGAGCAUUUAUAAUCUUUUGGGAAGGUAGUCCUAUAUCAGUUUUCUACUGAAUUUUGAGGUGAAUAAAAGGCUCUGUGAGGCUUUACAAUCAAUAGGUAUCUCUCUCAUGUGUAUGACCACUGCUUGCCCCAUGCCCAGUUGGCCACCAGUGAUAUGAAAGGGGACUGAAGCACAUGUCUUCAACCUCUUGAGGCUUUGCUCAUACUUUCACCCUCAGUCGUUUGAGCCUCGAGCUCGUGGUCAUCUAUCACUCGAGCCUCAAUUUGUAAGUCUGCCCAAUUGUGCCUCCGACCCACUUGCAAGUUUGGUUGACUAGUAGUUUUUUUCUUUUUAUUUACUCUUUUUUCAUUUAUCUCAAAAAAUAGGAUUAUAAAAUUAUAAAAAUUUACAUAAUAUCAUAUACUCAAUCAAAAGUUCAUAUUAACCAACUAGAAAUCACUUUUCACAAUUUGACACAAAUAGAAGUCUAUUUAUCAUAAGUCUAAAACUAUAAUAUCACUUAAUUAUUAACUUAUAAUAAUAAAGACUUACCAAUUACCUUCUAUAUUUAAUUAUUUAUAUUUUAGGCUACCUUCCAUAUUUAGUCAUUUCUAUAUCUAACCUUUUCUACUCUAGCCAUCCUCUAUUUUAGAUCACUCUCUACUUUUAGACCCUUCUUAUUUUAUCUCACUUUCUUUGUGAGGGUCUUUAUAUUUCCUAGUUCAUUCUAUUUUCUCUUUUACUAUUUCUAUUACUUUUUUGUUUUCAUUUCCUCACUUUUUUAAAAUCUUAUUUUAUGUUAGUGCACUUUUAAUUUAUUGUAACCUAUUGGAUCCAAAGAUAAGAAUUCAACUAUUUUCAAGUCAAGCUACACUAAAUUGUCUCAAUCAUUAUCAACUCAAUAUGUCAAAUCAGGCAUUGAAUCUAUUCAAAGACAAAACAAGGUAUACUAUAUAUAAUUCCAGCUUGUGUGCUUCAUAUGAGAACCAUCCUAAAAGAGUUCUAAUUUUGGUGGUCAUGCAAGAUUAUCAUGAGUUUCCUGAGACAUUUGGUUUCUACAGGGUCGUUCCUCUCAAUUUCUUACAUUGAUAAUAAUGUUGAUCAUAUUGGACAUACACAUGAAAGGAGGCUGCAUUUGAAUUUCUCAAAGAUCUAAUUUUUUUCUCGGAAAUAUAUUUACUCGACCAUCAACAUAAGUUUAAAAUUAUAAUUACGAUCAAAGAAAAUCAAAACUAUGGUGGAUUAUCGUCCCCAAUUGGACCCCCUCGUCGGCGUCAUCUCUGGUGGCCGUCGUCGUUUGGGGGGCGGUAGCUGGUGGCGGCGGGGAGGAGGGAGACCGGGCAUAACGUUCUCUCCCUCGUUUUCCGAAAAAGCACUAUCACCGUCUCUCCCGUCGCCGCCGCCGCCGCCGCCGAUCUGAUCCCGACCCGGUGCUGGGCAGCACGUAAGCCUUCACGCAGGAGAGCCGAGUCAACUUGCGCAAUGCUGCGAACUUGCUCGUCUUCCUCUUUGGGGAUGCGUAGUGCUCGGCCGCGACUUCGUCGUGUUAAUCUUGAAGCGUGUUAAUCUUGAAGCCUCUCCAGUUCGUCUGAGGAUCUUCUGAUUGAAAGUUACCAAUCUGGGUCUCAUUCAAGGUUCAGCCGGGGCGUUCCCAUCUCACAUCCUCUGUCGACCGACCCGAUCUUCACGUGCGCCUGAGUCUGAAUGUUAAAGAGCGAGAGAGAGAGAGAGAGAGAGAGCCUUCCUUGAGUAGGUCACAAGCUACCGCGGAGAGGAUACUNNNNNNNNNNNNNNNNNNNNGAGAGAGAGAGAGAGAGACAGACAGACAGACAGAAGUUCCAUGCAGAUCUUCCCUGUAUGCCGGGCAAAGCGGAGCGGAAGAGAAGAGCAGUGAAAGAAUCUCCUCCUUUAAAGACGUCCAUGUCCCUCUCUUUUCUGACCUGCUGAUUCUUCCAGUCUUCACUCCAUCUCCGACCCUCAGGGAGCUGUUUUCGGAGGCUAUAAACUAUCUCUCGCUCGUCGCCGGAAGCCGGCGGGUCCAAUGGGGCUCAGGAAGGGCCCUGCGGGCGAUGCCUUGCUCUUCUUCCUCUACUUCUCUGCCGCAGCCGCUUCCCUCUGCAUCUCCGGUGAGCAGCAUUUAACCUCCCGCGCUUCUCCAAGACGCCAUUAAAUGUCAGUACCUUCCUCUCCUGUAACAGUCUCUGACAGAAGUUCCAUCUUAUUAGAUGCGAGGAGCACGAGAGUUCUCAGACCCUCGAGGAAGACGCAGCAGCAUCGGUCGCCAUUAAAGCGCUUGACCGUCUUCUCCUCUUCUGAUCCCUACUACAGAGGCUCCCCUCUCUCCAUGCCCCCUUACGAGGACGUCAUGGGCUCCCCCCCUCCGUCUUCUUCCUCACAGGGAGACCCCCUCUUCUGCAUUUACCCGCCGCCGCCGGUUUAUUUUUCUCCUCCAUUUGACUUCCCCAGCCCGCCGAACUACCUCGGAACACCAAACCUACCGAGCCCGCCCUUCCCCGUUCCAUCCCCCCUCAUCAUCUUUCCCAGCCCACCGGAGUUCGUCCCUAACCCGCCGGACUGUGAACCCAACCCACCGGAAUAUUCUGCACCAAGCCUACCGGGCUCCAUCCCUAACCCCCCGGAUUGUGCACCCAACCCGCCGGAAUAUGCUCCGAACCCACCGGAGUAUACUGGACCAAGCUCACCAGGCUCCGUCCCCAUUCCCCCGGACUAUGCACCCAAUCCGCCGGAAUACUCUCUGAGCCCACCAGAGUAUACGGCACCAAGCCCACCGGGGUUCGUCCCUAACCCGCCGGAGUAUACUGCACCAAGUCCACCGGACUAUGCGCCCAACCCGCCGGAGAAUGCUGCACCAAGCCCGCCGGACUAUGCACCCAACCCGCCGGAAUAUGCUCCGAGCCCGCCGGAGUAUGAACCAAGCCCGCCGGAGCAUACUGCACCAACCCGCCGCAGUACGCUCCCAACCCGCCAGAGUAUGAACCCAGUCCGCCGGAAUAUGUACCCAGUCCGCCGGAGUACGUUCCCGGGCCGAUGGUUUUCCUGCCGCCGGUGGUUUACCCGCCGCCAUCGGUGCCGCCGUCGCCCUUCACGGCGGCGCCGAACGCGCUGUGGUGCGUGGCGAAGCCGUCGGUGCCGGAGCCGAUAAUCCAAGAGGCGAUGAACUACGCCUGCGGAUCAGGUGCUGACUGCGACUCCAUCCUCCCCAGCGGGUCCUGCUUCCAGCCGGACUCGGUCAUCUCCCACGCCUCCUACGCCUUCAACAGCUACUGGCAGAGGACUCGGGCUGCCGGCGGGACCUGCGACUUUGGCGGCGCCGCCAUGCUCGUCACCAAGGAUCCAAGUAAGCGCCGUCCCCUCGUCUCUUCCCCUCCCACUUCGACGAUUCAUCUCUUAAGUCCCCGUUCACUUUUUAUACGUAAUUAAAGCACUUAAUCAGCGAUUUUCAUGUGUCGGAAUUGUUGAAGUCUUCCCUUUUCGAGCUCCACUUGACCCCUAGAAGGUCAGCAUCUAUCCAGUUAAUAGUACUGCUAGAACACGUAGAGCUUCUACUUUGAUUGGACUAAUUCCAUUAAAUUUUCUUCUCUUUCCUUCCCCCUCUCCCCCCCCCCCCCAACUUGCGUUGAGUCAAAAACGGGAUUUUGGGCUAUUAUUAUCUUUCUAAAAUCAUAUAAUUAAUCCUUAUCAGAGGAUAAAUUUCAUGAAUUUUCUUUAAUCCUUGAAUAGUAGUCUUGAAAUCAUAAAGUCAAUUAUCAUCAUCGAGAAAAUUUGCUUCAGUAUUGGAAUUAGAAGGAGAAUUUUGAUUCUUCAGCAAGAUUCAGAAUUCUAUUUCGCAAAUGAAGCUGAAUGAGUGAGCAAUCGAUAAGUCAAACGAAUGAUGCUUCAAGCCAUGAGCUAGUAAUCAGUCAUAUUAUUUAUUUUUCUCAUAUUAAACAGAUUUUAAUGCAAAAAACGUAUUUUUCUCUUAGUUUGGCCUCACUCAUCUUCCCCUCAUUUAGGAAACAUUAGAACUUAUCAUCAACGGUUCACAUUAAAUAUCAUGCUAUGAUCAUUGACACAGAAAAUUGGGUACAUAAGCCAGCGGAAUUUAUUCAAGGGCGUCCUCAAAUUGAUGAUAUUCUCUUCUCUUUUGAUAGGCUUCGAUGGAUGCCGAUUCAUCACCGUCCUACUGCAGGGGAUUGCUGGCGGGGGAUGAAGACAUGAAGACACUAUGCAAUAUCAAUAUAACAUUUUUCUCUUUCUCAAACUAUAAGAAGACCAAGUUAGAAGGGCAGAAUUUGAGACCCAUGUAGAGAGAUGAAGCAAUAAAAAAGUUUUGUGAAAGAUAAAAUUACCCUUUUGGUAUAUUUACUAUAAUAAUAACGAAAUUGUGUUAUGCAUCUCUAUUAAGGAUAUACACCAAGGUCAAAGAUUAUAAACCUAGAGAUAUGAGCUCAUAAGUCAUUCCAAUGCUGGCCUACCAUGGUUUGUAGGAUAACCCUUCGAUUCAACCUCUAAGAGAGUGACUGUGAACUCUCAUCCUAUGUUAUUAUUUUCUGGUUAAAACAGUUGGGCUGUUAUAAUGGUCAAAGAGGAGAGAGUUAUGGGUUGUAACGGACCUCCCUAUGUUAUAAUGUAUUCCCAUCCAUUUCUCUCUCCCUUUCUCUCUCCUAUCUUCCUCUAUUUAAAGUGCAGGGGGCAUGGGAGAAAGGUGCAAUGUUGUGGAGAGGUUGUGAGAUGAGGAUGAGGGGUUGUUUGACUUCGAGAGAGAAGGUUCUCAAUUGUUUCAUUAUAAUCUCUUUUUCUACUUGAGGAAGAAGAUAUUCGAACAUCAGGGCUAAGAGAGAGACCUAGAAAUUUUAUAUAGAUCACUUUUCCCAUUUGUUCAUCCACAAAAGAAAUACCUCCAACUCUCGAUGUGGAAGUUAGAGAAAUUCUACAAACCGCAUAAAUCUUGACAUACUACUUCAUGUCAUUUCAUGUGUAUAUUAUCGUCUCUGAUUCUUUAGACAUGCUAAUACUUAAUUGGGUAAUAUUUAUUUUUGUUUAGAGAAGAAGGAAGGCUCUCACUUCUUUCACUUUGAUCUCACCUUUUUCUACUUGUAGAAGAAGAUAGUGAACAUUGAUCCAAGGACAGAGACCUAGACAUUCAAUAUAGAACUAUUUUCCCAUUUGCUCUCCCAUCAAAAAAAUAUCUCUAACUCUCUUUGUGGCCGUAACGUAAAUUCUCCAAACCACAUGAAUCUUGACAUAUCACUUCAUGUUAUUUUAUUUGUAUAUAUUCUUGUUGUCUCCAUUAUUUUGUGUGAGAUAUUUUUUUUUAGACACAUUCAUACUUAAUUGGGCAAUAUUUAUUUUUGUUGAGAGAAGAAGGAAGGUUCUCACUCCUUUCAUUUUGAUCUCGCCUUUUUCUACUUGAAGAAAAUGAUAUUCAGCAUCAAGUCAAAGAAAGAGACCUAGACAUUUAAUGUAGAAAUCUUUUCCCAUUUGCUCUCCCAUUGAAGACACAUCUCCAACUUUCUUUGUUGACAUAAAAAGAAUUUCUCCAAACCACAUGAAUAUUGACAUAUCACUUCAUGGCAUUAUUUUAUUUGAAUAAAAAUCUUGCCAUUCUCCAUUAUCUUGCCUCUGAUGCAUUGGACACAUUCAUACUUAAUUGGGCAAUAUAUAUUUUUGUUGACAUAAGAAGGAAGGUUCUCAAUUGUUUCACUUUCUUUUUUAACUCUCAUUUUUCUACUUGAAGAAGAACAUACUCAACAUAAAGUCAAAGAAAGAGACCUAGACGUUUUAUAAGACUCUUUCCCAUUUGUUCUUCCUGUGAAGAUAUAUCUCUAACUCUGUUUGUGGACGCCUAAGAAUUGCUCCAAACCAUAUUAAAAAUUUUCAUACCACCUUCUAUGUGUUAUUUUAUUUGUAUAUAAUCUGGCCAUCUCCAUUAUCUUGCAACUAAUACUUUAGACACAUUCAUACUUAAUUGGGUAACAUGUGUUUCUGCAAUUCAUCUUCUAGUAUUGUUAUUAAUAGCAUUUUUUUUCAAACAACAAACUUUGUGUUCUUAAGGUGGGCUUCACUAGUUCCGAUUGAUUUUAUGCUGUUCUACCAAGGUUUGAAGGUUUUUGCCCCCUUCAAGAUCAAAUCAAAAAGCCCAAGAACAUCUCAUAAUAAGAUAAGAUGGACGAAUUUACUUAGAACAGCAUCUAAUAAUUUUUGGAGAUAUGAUCAGAGGAGAGAUACUCACCGUAGACGCUGAGCUUGAUCUUGAAGCAACAAACACAAGCCUUGAUUUUUAUAGCCCCUUCUCCUGGGGAUGCAUCAUGAGUUCACAACAAAGAUGAAGAUGGAUACACAUAGAGAUAGAUAGAUAUAUAGAUAGAGCAAGAGUGAGAGAGAGAGAGAGAGAGAGAGCAAGAGAGAGAGAGAUAGAGNNNNNNNNNNNNNNNNNNNNNNNNNNNNNNNNNNNNNNNNNNNNNNNNNNNNNNNNNNNNNNNNNNNNNNNNNNNNNNNNNNNNNNNNNNNNNNNNNNNNNNNNNNNNNNNNNNNNNNNNNNNNNNNNNNNNNNNNNNNNNNNNNNNNNNNNNNNNNNNNNNNNNNNNNNNNNNNNNNNNNNNNNNNNNNNNNNNNNNNNNNNNNNNNNNNNNNNNNNNNNNNNNNNNNNNNNNNNNNNNNNNNNNNNNNNNNNNNNNNNNNNNNNNNNNNNNNNNNNNNNNNNNNNNNNNNNNNNNNNNNNNNNNNNNNNNNNNNNNNNNNNNNNNAGAGAGAGAGAGAGAGAGAGAGAGAGAGAGAGAGAGAGAGAAGAGAGAAUUUGAGAGGAGUUGUACCAAAUAAGGGGCCUGCUGAGAGGGAAUACAAAGAGGGAAGAGCAAGAAAAGAGAUCUAGAAUGAGAUCUCGCAAGGCGCAUGGAAUGUCCUCCCGCGGCAGAUGGCUUCGAGGUUCUCUCCAGUGUAGGAACACAAAGGAGAUAUCUCCACACCUGAACUUCGAAACUCAUAAUUAAUACACACAUAGAGAGACGUAUUUCUAAAUGCAGAUAUAAAAGUAAAUAAUGAUAAUUAGGAAUUAAAAGGGCUCUUCAAUAUCAGAGGUGAAAUUAUUACCCUGGGAAGGGAGGGAACCCCAUUUGUUUUAUUUUUGCUUUUUUUUUUAAGGUGGGCAAGGAGCUGAGUCUGAAAAACCCUUUUUUUGGGGGGGGAGCUAUCUCCUCCAGAUGAAUCAGUACAGUUUGAUUUUCUUGAUGGCUAAAAAUAGAAAUAAAUAGCAGCUUUCUGUCGAAAAGAAUCCACCGGAAUUGGAAAGCUGGAAACAUUUUCCUGGCUCAGAUCCUGCAGAUCUUCUUCACUCCAAAUGGAGUUGCACGUAAAAUCCAGGUGGUGCUUUAAUUUAAGACGACGGUAAAUAGAAUGCACGAAAAAAUCCCCAAGAAAAAAUUAUUUUCCUAAAGAAAAGAUUAUUUUCUUGAAGAAAAUUUUGGGUGGGCGAUCAAUUACCGGUUGCAUAUAAGGGCACAGAAUGUGUGAGGAAGCCCCCAGCGGCGACAACCCAGCGAGUGUGCAGGCGGAGCAGCAGCAGCCGGGCGCUGUCGGGGGUAUCGUAGUUGGCCCCAUUAGCGUUCUUCACUGGGGCAAACUCCUCUUCCCGCAAGAUCUGAUCACCAGAUGCCCCACAUGAUUCUUCGAUCAAGCAUAGUGAUAAAAAAAAAUCAUAAAAUUCAUGAAAUUCGCCCGAUCGAAGCUGAUAAGAUUUACCGAUCUGGGUAAAGUCAAAGAAUGCAAUGCCGAUGAGUCCUUAAAAACGGGCGAGAGAAACCGACCUCGAAAAGGGCGGUGGAAGGAGCAUAUGUGAAUGCGUCGAACACAAACUGCUCCAGCUUGAAGCCCGUCAUGGAUCCGUGAACCGAGUGGAUCUUCUUCUCGGCAAGGUGGUAACUGCAACACACGUUCAUUUUAUAAACCGGCGAAUUAAACCCGAGAAAAUUUUUAUUUAUGUUUUUGUUGGAUGAAAAUAUAGAAGCCGCCUCGAGUGGUCUCUGAAUAGAUGGGAUGGAGAACAGGGACUCACAUGCUGUCCUUCUCGAGGCCAUUCGCUACUUGAUUCAGAAAGUCCAGGGUGAACAUGUGCAAGCACACCUGUGCACAGCAGGGGAAAAAAACGAUGAGAGCAAGGCUGCGAGAGUUUCUUUCUACAAGUGGAAAUAAGGAAUUAAGAGUAGCAGACGUCAGUUUACUCCGUAAAAAUCUCACUCAGCAGCAAUUAAAAAAAGGGUUCGAGGGCUUACAUUGCUCCAACAAUAUCGGAGGCGUCCAGUUGUCUGAUUGAUUUCACAGGCCAUUGAAGAAUCCAUCUCGCUGUAUUCAAGAACAGAGAGUGGCCCACCUCUGCCACGUCGCACGAAGACGCCGACCUUCUCUUGUGGGUAUCCCUGAACCCCCAAAGUAAACAUAGAUAUUUGUAAAAAUAUUUCCCAAACAAGUAAGGUUCUCCGACAAGAAUCACUAUGACCAUGAAGAAAUGAUAGUCAGGCGUUGAAUGCAGUGAACAAAUAAGCUAUAUGAAUUAGGAGUUCUCUAGUUCUCUGCAACAGAGACCUGAAGGGAAGCCAUGAAACCUGGGUGACGACCAGAAGGAAAAUGAAGAAAAAAUAUCUCUUUCGAAGAAAUUAUCUACCAUUUCAGGAGAUUACACAAAAUAAAAUAUUGAAUGAAAAAACAGUGGUUCUUGUCAUAAUCUUUGUGAGUAACGACUUGGUAUGACCCCAAACAAAAAAGAAAAAACGAAAUCUUUUUUUUGCCUCGGGCAUAUUAUUUGCCCAAUUUAAGCCCCAGAACGGAUAUUUACUUCAGGGAGUAGCUCCACGUUGGCAUUUAGGGAAAGGAAUUUCUUUGCUGGAAGAAACAUACUAUCAGCAGAUCAAUAAAAAUGAAGGCUUAUUCUGUAUUUAGAAAGUAAGUACGGAGUAAAUCUCAUCAUAGACCCUAGAUAUGCUAGAAAAAUGUUACAAAGCAAAAUUAGGCAUAAGCCUUAAUCAUCUGCCCAGCCAUUUCAGAAACGAUGUCUAAUCAGUAUCCCGCAGAAAUGGCUAACUGCUGAUCAACUAAAACCAAUAGCUGUUCUAGUCAACACAGCCCCUAUUUCCACUUGUGGAGAGAAGCACUUGAAAAAUUUUCAGAUUCAGACCCCAUGUGACUGACAAUCAAGGUCGUAAUCCACACUGGAUGAACACCAAAUUAAGCAAAGAUGGCACGUACCAACCCCACUGUGAGAUGCCCUCCAAAGGAAAGCAAAACUAAUCAACCCCUGAUGACGGUGUACUUAAAGCAGAAUAAAUUCCACCACACCGAAAUAAGGAGUGAGGGAGCUCUGACAUCUCUGCGAGAUUCAAGAUAAUUUAGCAAAACUGAGGAUUCCGUAUAAAUGUCAAGAACUCCUACACUAAGGAAUUGAUUCCCAGACAAUCCUAAAGAUAGCCCAGUUUGGGCAAUUGUUGGUCGUCGAGUAAUGUCCGGAAAGGAACUUAAAGAAGAGAGAGAAUGAGUAGCCUUAUCUCCCUAAAAAAAAAGGAAAAAAUGCGUCAUUUUUUAUGGUACCAUCAAGUAAUGACAGGCAUGCAAUUUGCCAUCAGCCCAACAGGUUUCGAAAUUAAUAUCUCAUCUAUUUAACUCAAUUAAUGAUACUAAGACGUAAUUAUGUCUGAACGCAAAAAAUCAAAACAAUGCUGGAGAUGAACUCAAUCUACAGAAGAACAGCUGUACAUCAGCCGGGGAAAUUAGUACUUUGAUGAUUUUUUUUCCGAAAAAUUCAUGAUACUUAUGAAUAAAUUAUGGUUUUAUUUAGCAAAAAGUUGAAGAUUAAGGAGUAUAUAAAGUGUUACUUUCAGAAAUAAAAAGAAUCCUGAUAACCGCUUACCUUACGGACAACUUUUGCUGCAGCAGGGACACCUUUCUCAAUGAAAUAUCCCAGAAAAGUAGGGUCUGCAACUCGAACCUGUUCAAAGAGGUUAAUAAUGGGAAGUGCAUUGCAUGAAAAAAAACGUUUGAUUGAUGCUGUAUCCUACCAAAGCAUUAUCAACUCCAUAACAAUCUACAUAUUUAACUCCUCUUGCAGCCAUAUCCUCCAGUAGCUUAAAAGAUUUCAGAGCUGAAGAAAAAAAUAGUUCAGAUAAAGAUGAUCAAAAUUUUCACAAUUAUCCCAGAAAAUUUUGUAAGCGAAUAGUCUACGAUUCAUAAUCGAAUACCAACGUAAACUAAAAAAUGUGAUGCGAAACCAACCAGAAUAGACUCCUCCGUUUCCAUCUGGAGCCUUGGCAACCUGAAAUUAUAAAAUAAAUUAUGAACUAUCAUCUGGAUCCGUGGAGAAAAACACAACCUCAAGGAACAGAUUUUUCUUGGCGUUCUUUCCUAUCCCAUAAAACAACCAAGAUGAAACAGUGUAAACGUCUUGUCUUAUUGAAGACCCAAAAGUAAUUCUUUAACACAGAAUACGGAUAAGCUUAUUAAACCUACUUUUAGUGAAAAGAUGACAACGAAAUAUAGGCAUUCCAAAAAAUGUGAUUAUAAUUUCAAAUGUUUCAAAUUCAUUCACAGCAUGACGAAUUCAAGAGUGCACCGUCUGAAAUGUGUUGCGAUGAUCCAGGAGAUCUUUUAACGAGAAACCAAAAAAUUAUGAGGGAUGGUAUUAUUCUGGGCUGAAGAUCAAUAAUAGAUAAAUGUAUCUGUCAUUGUCAUUGAGGAACAUUACCUUGUGAGGAGCCUCCAUGAUAAACCGACCAUCUUUUGAAACACAAGGAAGGGUGCCUUGUUGAAAAAAAGUGACCUGUAGCAACAAAAGGAAUAAAGUGCAAUUGAUUGAUCUGAAGUAAAAAGAGGACCAAAAUUUCCAAAAGGGAGAGCAUUACUUGGUCAGUUUCCAUGCCAAAGUAUUUAUGGCUCUCAAAAAAUUUGCGGGUAGCAUCAUCGGUAAAUGGACUUGUCAUUAUAUACCAGUGGAUUGGGACGAAACUAGGAGCACCUGUUCAUCGGAAAUCUUUAGGUCUCGCAUUAUCUCACAAAGUUUACAAAACUCUCACAAAGAAUUUCAACCCUACCCUCCACUGAUUGGGAUGCAAGCCUCUGGACGCACAGAAUUCGCUCUGCUUGAAUUUGAAAAAGAGACUUCCCAGAUGGAAGCCCAAUAUCUAGAACACGAAAACAGAAGCCACUUCAGCAUCCAUAUCAAGUGACAAGGCUCCCACACGCCAAACUCGUGUUCGCUGAGAAAUAUUGUCAAUCCAGUGGAAACUUCACAUCAGAUUAUUUUCAUGGAUGUUCUCAUAUGAUUCCCUUAAUGGUCGUUGCAAAUGCUAUCAUCCACACACAUCAGUCAGCUUUUGAUACAGUCAAAAUUCCACAGCGACGAGGAGAAUUCUUAGGGUAUUGUAUAUCCAACCAUCAAGGAGCUUAAACAAGAGCAACUAGCCAACAGAAUUGUAAUAACGUAAUUGUGUCGAAAUUCUCAUUGAAACCAUGAGAAGAACCUAAUGAACUGACCAAAUUAAAAAACAGAAAGCACAUCCACAAAGGGGCAAGUACUUCUUAUUCGCUUGCAAAUUAAUUGAAAGGAUGGAGAACAGUUUGGUAAGGAUCCAACUGGCAUUUACCGACAUAGACUCUCAAUUACAAUUUAUAAGCUCUCCUGCUGCUUCAUUUGAGAGGAAGUGAUGCGCUUUUUCCUCAUGAAAAAGCCAUCAGUUCAAUGAACUCUACAUCAAUCUUUUGUAGUUUUCUCUCAUGUUUCUGUUACACUUUUCCAUUUAGAUUGAAAACGUUAUGAUAGGAGGAAAUUUUCCAUCAUGGCAUAAAUGGAAGGAUCACUAUAAUCUCAUAGAAAGGCACGAACUUGAUGCUACGAAAGUGAAUCAGCAGAAAUCACGAAAUUGAAAAAACGAAUCAUCAGCAAUUAAUUCAAACUAUGAAUUGCAAUAGUGGUACAUAAAAUAAAACAAGACAACGAGCACUUACUGAAACAUCCUUUGGGAUCUGAACUACCAAGCCGAGUACCCUAUAAAUGAUAUUCAAUAUAACAUAAUGUCAUAAUUACGUUCAAGAACUUUGCCAUUAGAAAUGAUGAAGCAUUAAAAUUGAAUCGUAUAGAAUUCGAUAAAAAAAAGAAACAAACAGCUGAAAGAAUUUUCCACAAAUAAAAUAAGCCACAAUAUUUAUCUUGACAGAGAAAUCUGUACUUCAAAUCCCGAUUUACUCCACCCCUGGAAGAAAAAACGUAACGGUUUAUGUGAUAAGAAGUAUGAUAACAAGAGAUAGAAAAUGAAAUCAACAUGGAUCUCUUUAAAUACCUGCCUUGAAGAAACUCAGUUUAAGUAAAAAAACAUAAAUCGAAACCUAAACUACAGCAUUUUUUUCAGAAGGCUACCAUGAAGGGGGAAAGUGGACCUCCUUAGAUAAGUUACCACAGAUGUAAGAGAAUUACAUUAAUUACUGCAUGUGUGAACAAACUGGACAGUAACAAUUAGACUGCUUCCAAGAUAGGUACAAAAUAUGGAGCUAUGGAAAAAUGAACUUUUUCUACAACUAUUGUGCCAUAACGACGUGAUUUUUCUUUAAAUUUCUAGUCUUUGUUGAGACCAUUGGCUUCAAUAACAAGACCUAAAGUGUGAUGUUCAGAAGACAAUAAGUCAGAAUAUUGGGUAUAAAAUACAAUGAACCAUUCCAGUUGACCGGUUAUAUCAUCCAGGCUCACUCAUUUAUGAUCCAGAUCACAAUCAGACUGGUCUAGACACAUUACAUAAACAUGGGCAGAAAUUCCCUCAAAUGCAAGUGUGACUCUAAUUGGAUACUAUGUGACUAAUACAGAGUUGUGACUGUGAGAGAAAAAACAAAAUUCUACACCACACACCCUCUUCAAAGGGAUCUUUCUCAAAUGCGCAAAUCUUCUCUUCUUCCUUCUCAAUCCCAGAUUCACUUCUAAAACUAAGAAGCAUAAAACGGGAAAGCAAGCUAGUUGUUGGCUGCUUUCCAAAGAAAAAAUAGAGUGGCAUGAGAAAAUUGUAAUGCACAGUAUUUAAAAUAAAAAACAGCACCUAGGGUAAAAAUAUUAGUUUAAAGUAGAAAUUUAUUUGUUGAGGGUACUCCACUAAUUUAGAAGGUAAAUAGUCAUACGAUAACAUAAUGAAAUAAACACAUGAUACCUACUUGCAUCCUUGCAUCUACUCAUCAACGUAAAAAUAAAACAUGAUAACGAUUGCCAAAUGUAAGAACAGAAUGUAAAUUCAUAUAUUAUGCAGGUAAUUAUUUCGAAAAUACCUGCCCACCAGCCAGAAGCAACACAGCCAACUUCCCUUCUGAAAUAGCCUUGAGCCCGGUUUUCCACCAUCUCUCUCUCUCUUCAAGUGUUCUCUCUUCAAGAGUGGAGACAGUAGCUUCUGGUACUGGCUCAACAGUAGGUAGUGGGAGCCCUGCAAAUAAUCGAGAAAAGAUAAAAUAUAAGACGGUAUAAGUGUCAUCUAAAGCAACAGACACUUCUCUUUUGGGACGGAACAUCCUCCAGAUUCAGCUCCUUGCAUCAGAUAUUUGUACCAAGAAUAAUAAUAAUAAUAAUAAAUAAUAAAUAAUAAUGACCCGACGAAAUUUUAUUUGAAAGUUCCAUCAACCUCUCAAAGUAAGAGUAUAAUGAAUCCAAGCAGUAAACCAACCAAGACAAUCUCUUCAAUAAAUUAAUUUGGUAUUAGAAGAAUGAGUAGAGAAGAUUUUCACCAAAAAAAACAGUAAUUAAAAUAUUAUUCAUUGCAUUUACAUCCUAGCGAUAGCUUCUCCCUCUCAAACACAGUCCAAUUUGAUGAAAGGUUAACAUGGUUCGAAUCAGAACACAGACAUUAUACAGUAAGGCACUAGUUUCCUUUAUGACUACACUUCCCUGAUGAAUGUUCUCAUUCAAGAUAGUAUGUCCACUGUGGGACUUUUAACUGCCAAAUGGAUGGACACUAAGCAUUUAUAAACAAAUUCAACUGAUGAUACCUCAAUAAGCCUCCGUGGUUUUUCGAAACUCCCAUCUUUUGGGUCAGUAAACAUGAUAAAGAUCUCUUGACGUGCCUUAUUUAAUCAUCGCGAGAGUCAUUUGGACUCCAGGAAAAAAAAACGCAGGAUUGCAUAAACAUAAGAAGAAGACAAAUAAAAGCAAAGUUUCUCAUGCAUUGGGACUCGCUAUAAAGUCAUCCGGCUCUCUGACUUCUAUUUGUCUGCUGCAAGAGAUUGCCAUGCUGCUGGACUAAGUUCCACUAAUUACUGGUGCCAACCCCUCUUACUGGGAGGAUGAAUAUAGUAGUUUAUUUUUCUGUUUUCAGUUUUGCUGUUUUCUUUUGUUUUUUUUUGGGGGGAAGGAGAGUGGUAGGAUGUUCGGGGAUUGAUUCUAACAAUAUUUCUUUAUAAAACAAGAUCAGUAACUGUCAUUACGAACACAUCUAUCCAGUUUUACCAUAUUCAAACACAAAGAUGUGCCAAAUACUGAACUUUCAGAACAUGUGCACAUUCACUGUUUCUAAAAUAACAAAACAAGUAAUAAGGAAGUUAAAUGAGGAAAAUUUCUAAGAAAAUGGCAAUCAUAGAGAUCUAGAACGGCCAAAACCCAUCACCGCGCUACAGUAUGUGUGGUAUCUUCAUAGAAUGCAUAAUUAACUAUGAAGAUGAAGGAAACGUUGCAUAAAGAGUUUUAUUCCCGUUUGCUACUAAAGCUGCAGAGAUGGUUAUAUUACCAUGUGAUUUGAGAGAACAUCGAACGAUCUUAUCAACCCGUGGAAGGUCUAAACCCUGAAAAGGCAGCAAGUAACAAAACACAACUGUCAAAAAAUGGAAGAAAACGAAAUAAAUGCUGCCUUCCAAUCAUACAUCAUUUAUGUUCUUCCACUAAUUAAGAGUGAUAACAUCAGCCAUAAAAAAAAAAAUCUGAAACCCGCAGCAUAGGAAGCAGGUUUUAAUGAAUAGCGAUUGAAAAUAGAAAAAAUAUUAUGCAAUUUACUAACAAAGUAACAGACGCAUGUCCACGACAGAGGGAUACAGUUAACGCAAUUUUUCGUCUAUUACUGCACUCACUUUCACACCCCAGGGCAAUUAAACAUUUUGUCCAUGUUCCUACCGGUCAAAUAACCUAAUGCACCACACCUUUUUAAAGGAAAUAAAGAAUAAAAUACAUAUGAUGUGGGUAAAAAAACCAUUGCAUAUAUGCUGGAUUUCAUAACGUGCAGUUUCAGAAUAAAUAUUGUCAACUCCAAAUUUCCACGUUUCUCCUGUGAUCAAAACAAACUAUUCGCCUAUUACAUCAAGGUACAACCACAAAUAUGGAUCUAUCGACAAGACUACCCCUGACGGUCACAUUAUACAUUUGUAGCUUAAAGUCUCCCUACAGCCUCAGAAAACAACAAUAAGUUCGUUCCAAAUGCUUGAAUUGAAUUCACGGAGUGCCUCCUCACACCUUCGUUCAGGAUUUAUGCAGAAGAUAAAUUAUAUCACGGUAAAAGUCCACAUAAGAACCUUGCAACUCCACGAUUUACUUUAGACAUCAGCCCAGAGAAGGAGAAAAAAAGAUCAAUCAUUGCAUCAAACGGCGAGCAAAAACUAAACAGAAAAAGAAGCAUAAGAUUAGAUCUUUCCGACGUUCGCACUGAAUUAUCCAUUCUCCACAUGCCCUCAUGCAUGAUAAUCCGCAUGUACGCAUAUGAAUCGGCAUAAACCACAACAAUUCUCGCGCAGAGCACAAACUUCGAAUUCAGAAACGAACGUGAUCGCAGAAGACGCGCAACUCAACUCCUUUUUCCUCCAGACUCCUAGCUUACAACAAAUUCAUGCGGGAACGGGGCGAGGCAGAACGAGGGAGAGUGAUGUCGGAGAGAGACCUGGAUGUCUCUGAUGAGAAGAUCCCGCUCCUCAGGGGAGAGCUCAUCCCAGUAGGCGAAGGCGUCCUCCUGUCCGUAAUCCUUGAGCCGCUCCACCAACGCCUGCGGCGGCCGAGAUCCCCUGGCGGUGGACGCCGACAGCGGCAGCGGCGGCGGGGAACCUUCCCCGACGACGACGAGCCUCCGGCGAGGACGACAGCCGCCGGCGUCUUCCGCUCGACCAGAAUCAGUCCUCGCUCCGUCACCACCUCCUCGGAUCCCACCGCCCCCAUCUCCGUCGUCUCCUUCCUUCUCCCCGGCCCUUUCUUCACUCCACUCUCCCUCCCCUUUUACCUUCUCCGCCAAUUUAUAGGCAUCCCUCUCUGCUCUUUUACCUUCCCCCUCCCUCUGAGACCACACCAGUCUCUAGCUCUAGAGAGAGAGCGAGAGAGAGAGAGAGAGAGAGAAUAUAGUAGAGAGAGAGACAGCCAAACAGACAGACAGGCAGACAGAAGAGCGAGAGAGAGAGAGAGAGAGAGACGAAGAGAGAGAAAGAGAGAUAGAAGAAGAGGGAGGGAGGGAGGGAGAGACAGAGAAUAGAGUAGAGAGCGAGGAUGAGAGAAGGAGAGAGAGAGAACAAGAGAAUAGAGUAGAGAGAGAGAGAGAAGAAGAAGAGAGAGGGAGGGAGAGAGACAGAAUAGAGUAGAGAGCGAGGAAGAGGGAAAGAGAGAGAGCAGUAGAAUCGAGCAGAGAGAGAG